UCAGAACACCUGAGGAGAAAGAUGCAGCAUUAGAAGCUGUCAAGAACACCAUACUAGAAACAUUUCUCAUUGUUGUCAUCGGGUAAGUAUGAUCCUUGCGUUCACCUCUACUUUUCAACUCAUCGGGUAAGUAUGUCACAUAAUUUUCCUUGGAGAUCUCAAAUGGUUGACUAAGUUAUCUGAGUUUUGCAGUUCAGUUUGCUCAGCACUUCGAGCAUGGCUUUUUUAUUCUGCAAGCGCAAGGGUUGUAGCGCUGCUAAGGAAGAAUAUGUUCAGUCACCUUGUAAACCAGGUAAGCGAAAGGUGACUUUUCUGAUCAAGAUUGAAAUACUGCAAAUGAAUUUAUACGUGUGAUUGCUGCAUGUAUAUGUAUGAGUCUCAUUGUUGCUAUGGCAAGUAACACAGCUGGAUCAUCUCAUUUGAUACAUCAAAUGAUACCCUGUCUCUUAAUUUCUUGCAGAUAGCAUAAUUAUUUUGAUUUCCCAAUGUCUUGCUUUAUAUACAAUUGGUAUUUGGAAUAAGUUGAUUAUGAAGUCAGAAGAAAGUGUACUGGACAGUCAAUGUUUUAUAAAAUAACGUUUAAGAUGCAAUGAAUGAAACAGAACUCAUAAUUUUACUAAGAUGCAAUGAAGGAAACAGAAGUCAUAUUUUGUCUUUUCUUUAUUGUGUAUCAAAAGAGUUUGCUUCUUUGUUCGGAUUUUUUUAUUUGUGGAGCACUUUUUUCCAAUAGGUUCUUGAAGAUAUAUGAAUAUAAUUUUACUUUCUUGCAGGUACAAGAACUUGCUAAGUUUUGUGUAGAGUUAUGGGAUCUUAUGGAGAUACCAAUUGAAGAGCAAAAGGCCUUUAGCCAUGUUAUUAGAUUAAUUUCAGCAUCAGUUGACGAAGUCUCAAUCCAAGGUGGCCUUUCUUCUGAUGUCAUUGGCAGGUGAAACCUUCAACGACUUGUACUUGCGUUGCAAUUUUAUUUGUAUAGUCUGAAUUUUAGUUGCUUGAUUAUUUAUAUUUGUGUAGGUCGAGGUAGAAGUUCAACGCUUAAGUGUUUUGAAAGCCAGUAAGAUGAAGGAAUUAGUGUUUAAAAGACACAAUGAACUUGAACAAAUUUACAAAGGAGAUCACAUGGAUAUGGAUAGUGAAGCUGUAGACAGAUUCUGAUCAAUCUCAUAGAAUCUGGUACAUAAAUAAUGCCUAAGGUGUUAUUGAAUUUUUUUUCUUGAUAUUUCAACAUGGCUACUUAUAAAUGUAUCUGUAGAUUCCAUUUUAUUCCCUCUUAAAUACCCUCUGGACCUGAUGUUAUAUAUAUUGUUGUUAGAAUCCUUACCAGAAUCGUGAAAACCGACGAUUUUGCAAUUUCACCCACCCCUACCAAUCCAAAUCGUAAAUAGAAUCUUGAUUUCAGUAAUAUAUAUGUUAUUGUUAAUUUUUAAUAAUUACUAAUUGUGAAUCAAUGCCUAAUUUUCGACUAGUAAUCAAAUUUUAUAUAUUUUUUUACAGUCUAGCUUAAUUUUUUGUUUAAAUACUCCAAAAUGAAGAAAAAAAAAAUAAUUUUAAUAAGCUAGUAGUAAACUACGAAAUUGCUAGGACCUUGCGGCUUGAGAUUUACUUUAAAAUUAUUGUAGCAAUGUCCUAGCCAAAUAGUUAGGAAACUUAAAUUUUGAAUGGUAUAUUGCUAGGCAUUAGUUUGGAAAGAGCUAGGAAUUUAUAAAUAUUAGAUGCCACUUAGCUAGGAAAUAUUAGGCUAGGUAAUUUUCCGCCCAAUCCAGGCUACGGCUAGUAUGACAGCUGAUUCCCAACUAAAUAGUAGCUAAAUGAGUUUUGCUAGGAAUUAGCUACGUGUUAACGACCAUUAGUUUCGUAGCAAAUUUUAUAUUUUCUUGUAGUGGGUUAGGAAUUUGGUUUGGCGAGCCUGUUGCAAUUGUAUCUCUAUAAGGCUACGUUUACAAAGCCGGGAUGUUCCAUGUCAAGGCUCUUGUGCGAUAUGUACAGUCUACAACGAAGAUAGUUUCCAUUUUUCUUCGAGUGCGACAAUAGUUUUGCUUGUUGGUAACACACUGGUAUUGGGCCCUCCCUCCAUUCUAUUAUUGAUCAAAAUGACAGUUUUUCUUUGGUUGUGUUUGCUGCUAUAGAAAAUUUAGAUGCCCCGCUAAACCAAAUUGUUGGGGUGACGUUGUGGAGAUGGACUCAAAGGUAGUGGUUGACUGUAUCUAUGGUUGUUCACUUGGUUUCUCAGAUUUUACGUCAAUUAUUAAUGAUUGUCGAUGCCUUAUUUCUUAUGAUCUAGCUCAAUGUCAUGUUAGUUUUCGUAUUUUUCAUUUGAGUUCUAUCAUGUAUCACUACUCUUAUUUUAAAUGAAAUGCAUUAUGUUUUCUCUUCUAAGAAACAAAACAAACAUAAGAAAAAGUAUGCAACAUAUGACCAUAUCAACCAUUAAAGAACACGAAAUUCUACGACUUUCCUUCAGGCAGUUGGAGAAGCUAAAAAUAUCUGCACGUUAUAGUUAUUAUCAAGAAAUAAAAGAGCCAAAGAAAAACUUGGACAUAUAAUACAAAGACAUUAAAAUUCAGAAAAUGCAGGAGCAAAAGAAAAAAUGAUGCUAUGAAGAAACUAUCCUUCUUCCAACCAACAUUUCAGAAUUAAGCAUGCUUGUUUUCGAUAACAUAAAUAUAAAUGCAUCUUAUUCACAAACAAAAAAAAAUCAUGCAAUUAAGAUCUCUAAACCAAUUAAUCUUCCUGGCUCAAGAUCAACCAGAACGUUCAUCAUUAGAAAAUAUUAUUGGAUUACAAAUUGUUACAAGGACUCGUAAUUAUCCAAUUUUUUCCAUGGGUGUAUGCUUAUUUUUAUACCGCGAUACAAACCUUAAAAACAUGACACUUCACCUCUAUAUUGUUACAAAACUCCUCAACAACAUUCUGAUCAUUAGUUUUAAUCUUCCAACCUAAUAUCAUAGCAAAAUCCAACAUCUUCUUCCUUUGGUCAUGGGUGAACUUAGUACUAAACGUUUUAUAUCUCGUUACAAAAAAUUUCAACAACAUUCUCAUCAUUAUUUUUAAUCUUCCAACCUAAUGUCAUUGCAAAAUCCAACAUCUUCUUCCUUUGCUCAUGGGUGAACUUAGUACUAAACCUUUUAUAUCUCGUUACAAAAUUCUUCAACAACAUUCUCAUCAUUAUUUUUAAUCUUCCAACCUAAUGUCAUUGCAAAAUCCAACAUCUUAUUCCGUUGCUCAUGGGUGAACUUAGUACUAAACCUUUUAUAUCUCGUUACAAAAUUGUUCAACAACAUUCUCAUCAUUAUUUUUAAUAUUCCAACCUAAUGUUAUUGCAAAAUCCAACAUCUUCUUCCUUUGCUCAUGGGUGAACUUAGUACUAAACCUAUUAUAUCUCGUUACAAAAUUCUUCAACAACAUUCUCAUCAGUUUCUGUUUGCCCAGAUAACACACAAAGGGGAGAAUGUCCUUUUGGCAGCACUUUGUAUUUCUGUGACUCAUUCCUGCUCAUCUUGGGUGGAUAGGGCUGUGUUUUGAAUAAAGUUUAGCUGUACAAAAAAAAAAUAACCACAUUUAAUUUUCGGGAAGCAUUCAACAAAAUCAUUUAAUACUUCCAAGAAAUAUAUUUAAAAUAUUACACAUCCUGAAUGCAAGAAACUUAAUAAAGCAUUCAACAAAACAAUUUAAUACUUCCAUGAAACAUAUUUAUAAUUCUCAAAUUUGUUUCUCUUGCUUAUUUGAUUUUCAUAUUUGUAAAUGAAUUUUUAAUUAGACAAGAUUUAAGCGACCAUGUAACACAAAGAAAGAGAUUGCAAUAUCUCUAGAAUAAAUCAAGCCGUUUAUGUUAUGAUAUAUUGUAUCUUCCCAUAGGAAAACAAAAUUAAAUUUUACUAAGAUUGUGUACCUGAUUCACCGGCUUGAAUUGAUUAGGCUUGAACCCAAUGGGUAUCUAGGUAUUUUUCUUAUACAGCAGAUCCGUUGAAUGUCUACACACAUGAUCAACAUCAGUAAAUAUGAAAAUCUUCAAUGUAGAACUUGAUAAUUUAACCCUAAACAUGAAAAUAAAAUCUAAAGUAGAUCUUUGAGUACCGUUUUUAUAGAUCCAUCCUUUUGAACAGCCCAUUAUAUCGGAGUUUCUCACUUUUUUAAUCAAAGAAAUUACACUCGAGUUGAAGUUGAAAUAGAAAAAUAGAACGAUGUUGUCACCAAUAAUCCUCCAAAGAAAGGAGAUUGUAGAUGACGACAAGAAAUUAAAAUCAUAAUGAUCAAGGAAUAGCAUCAGAUCUCUACACUGAAGCUGCAACAAAGAAAUUACAGUUCAGUAGAAAUUAGAACUAGAGAGAAGAGAAAGCAUAAUCAGAUCUAAUGAAGAAAUCAAAAUACUGCAUACCUUUCUGUAAUUAAACUCAAGGCUCACACAUUGAAGUGUUUGAUUUGUUUGAUUUGAGAUGAUAGUCAAUGUAACAAGUAAUCUUCUUUCUUCUCAUAAGCUUCUAAGGUCGAUCAUGAGAAAGUGAUUAGAUGCUGCUGGUGGAAGGAGAGGAACAUGGGUUUGUGGGUAGCUGCGGCUGCUGCUAGCUUUCAAAACCUAUAUAUCAGUCUAUAAUAUAUAUAGGUGUCAAGACCGGUUACCCUACCUGAUCUAUUUAGGGCCAGCCCUAACAAACAUUAGACUUUAUUGGAUUGGGAUAAAAAGCUCUAUUUGAACAUGGACUUAAGAAAAACUAUUUGACCCUAUACGGGCCAUGGGCUAAAUGGACCUGCCUUAAUUAUUUUCAUUCAUUUUUUGAAAAUAUUAUAGAAUGUUCAACAAAAUUUCUUACGAUUCUUACAAGCACUAUUUUUUUUACUAGUGAUCAGACAAGCAAUUUGUGUCUGUCUGCACACCUUUUUCUUAUUGCGAUAAUGUAUGUAAAUUAUGAAAGUUGUUUUUUUAAUGAACUAUGUUUAUCUUUUUGAAUUACCAACCAAUAUUAAAAAUAUAAUAUCAAUUCUUAUAAUUUUUAAUGACACCAAUAAUAUAAAACUAUUAUUGUUUUUUUUUAAAUUUGUAUAAAUUUAAUGAUACCAACAAAUAGAAUUUUUAUAGACAAUUCGUUUAUAGGUAUAGUUAAAAAAAUCUAAUUAAAAAAGAAAACUGAAAAUAAAAAAAACAUAAAUGUUUUGGCGUAACACAAUUUUAUUCAAGGUUACCAGCUUCCAUCUUCAUAAGUUUUACAAUUCAUAAAAAUUGGACUUUUUUUUUCUUCAUUUUUUAAGUAUAUAUCUACGCAUUGAACGGGCAAAAAGUAUGUCUUUCUUUUGUAAUUUAUGAACUUUUGUCCAAUUUCUUUGUUACAGAGCUUCUAUAAUCUUCUUUCAUAGGUGCUAGCGGUGAGGGAUAUAGCGGUAUGAUGAUAAAUGUGGUAUGAUGGAUAUAGCGGUCCAAUUUCUUUCAAAGAGAAUUAAAGAAAGAAGAUCAUCUCCUUUGUUUUUUCUUCUUUUGGUAGAGGGAUAUAGUGGUAUGAUGAUAAAUGUGGUGAAUCUAAAUAUGUUCAAGGGGUUUUAAUUUGAAUUUUAUUGGAAAAAUGGCGAUGGCGGUUGUUACAAACCAAUUAUCCUAUAUGGAAAGUAGUGUUGAUAGAAAAAUAUGGAAGUGGAGUGCAAACCUUGUUGGAAGGUAGUGGUGUAGAGUGUCUGUGGUAUGGUUCUUGAUGGUGGAAGGAUCUUGUGCUUAUUCACGAAGUUGGAAGCUCAAAUUGGUUUAAUUCGGAGGUGGGAGAACUAAUUAUCGAAAUGAUAAGUGGAGGGGAAGUUCUACACUUGUACAAUUUCCUAGACUUUAUGCUAUUUUAAAUAAUAAAUAAGCAACCCUAUUCUCAUGUAAGAGAUAGUUUUGUGUGUGGGAAGUGAACCCUUAUAAAUAAUUAGUUUGAAGUGGUCGAUGAUUUCAAUUAUUCCUAAGAGCAAGAUUGUUGGAAGUGGAGACCAGAGGAAAAUGAUUUGUUUUUGGUUAAGUCAACUUAUAUUUUGUUGGAGAAUCUAAUCAUGUGGGAGAAUAGAUGGAGUGAUAUUAAGAAGAAUGUUUUUGGUUAUCUUUGCAAAGGGAAAUCUCCAUCAAGAGUGGUGGCUCUUUCUUGGAAACAUUUACUUGAAUGAAUUUUGAUGAAAUCGAAUCUUGCCAUUUACAAAAUUAUUCAACCGGAGGAUUUGGAAGAAUGUGCUUUGUGCGAAUUAGAGUGGGAAACAUCUACUCAUCUCUUCUUGUUUUCUGUCGUGGAUGAAGGAGUGUGGAAUCUGGUAAUGAGAUGGAUAUAUUCUUGGUUCAUUACCCCUCCAAAUUUGUUUAAGCAUUUGGAAUUGGAGUAGAGAGGCGUCGAAUGAAAACCUGCAAAAAGGUUAUUGGCUUAUUUGGCAAGUAAUGAUUUGGAUGAUUUGGAGAGCUUGAAAUAUGAUUUUUUUUUUUUUUAAUAAUGUGGUAAAGGAGGUGGAAGAGAUAGUGGAUGAAGUCAAUGUGUUGUCAUGGAGGUGGAAUCCUAACGAUUGUAUGGAAGUUCUAUUUUGUAUCGAUAUAGGUGACUUUUGGGUUUUAGUACCAUUGUUAAUUUUUUACAUGGUGUUGUUUUCUUUGUUGAUUUGACUCUGUUAGCAUGUUGCUGGUCCACAAUUUUGGGGUCUGGGAGCAUAAUCGAUUUUGGUCUUUGAAUCCGCCAUAUUUUACUUCUUGUAAGGGUGGUAUGAUAAAUAAAUGUGCUAUUUCAAAAACAAAAAAAAAAAGGGAGAAAAUCCUCUAAAGUGAGAAAAUCAAGGGUUUUUAUUAUAACAAACUUGUGAUUUUCUAUGAUAUACCUACAAUAUCUACCUUUAUUUUAUUAAGUAAUGAUUGAUAUUGUCCACUUUACAAUCUAAAGCAAGUUCAUCACUUUAGAGGAUCCGGAUCUGCAUUAACUAUUUGUAGUUGAUUUUAUCAAAAUAAACUUAUUGUGUGGUUAGACAAAGGUAGAAUUUUAGUGUUUUAUAAACGCUACUAAUUUAUUUUAGCAAUUUUUGUUAUUUGAGACAAACAGACUACCAGUGGCCCAUACAUGCUACCCAGAAUAGGUUGUACUCUAUAUAGGGUCGUACUAAAUAGCUUGGAAAACGUUCGCGAUAGAAUAUUAAGGCCCAAAUUCUACUUUUUAUUCGGAUUGGCAUGCUGACCUUAAUGUGUGUAAGCCUAUUUUGACAACUCUAAUACUUGCAUGAAUAUAAAGAUUUGAACAUUCUAUUUUCUCACACACAAAAAAUAGUAGAAAAGGUAAUAAUUUAAUGUUAUAUAUUUUUUUAAUAAUAUGAUGAAUUGUAUUUUUUUUUUAUCAAAUGAAGUGUUGAAAUCUGUGUCCACCCAUAAAUUAUAUAUUACGGUUAUUAUAAUAUAUAAAUCUUGUAAAUAUAUGAUCCUGAUCAAAUCAUAACUGAAACUACAAAAAUCAUUCAUGCUCUUUAUUACCUACGUCCAACAGCCAGGACUCAUGGGUGUCAAGGUUCUUGAUUGAAACCUCAUUAUUUUUUGAACCGCUGUAAUGGCCACGUUUUAAAGGAAAAAAUGCGAAUGUAGAAAUAUGUUCAGUAUCUUGACAAUUAUUAGCCUACAACAGAAAAAUACAACACAAUAAACUGAUAGACAUUAAUAGAAAAAAGAUUAAUUGGUGGACAGUAUAAAAAAAAUGUCGGUUUAAGAAGAAUUUGCCAAAAUGGCGUUGUCAAAACUGCCAUCAUUUUCACUCCCCCGCUAAAUUUAAAAUAUUGAUUUAAGAAGAACCGUCAAGCAAGCUGUCAUAAUACGAGUUCAAUAAAAUGACGGCUAAUAUUUUUUAUUAUAACGGCGGUUUCAACAGCCUUAAUAUAAACUUUUUCACUCCCCAUGAAUAUGUGAAAAAGUACAAGAAAAAUAUUGAGCCAAGGCUAAACAAUUCAGCCAUCUCGCUUUCAAAAUCCCUGAAACCUCCGUCACAUAAGCAGAAGCAUUUCCCAAUGUUAUGAACAAAGCCUUCCAGGUACUUAGCUUCACAGUCAUGAAUUACAACACCAAUAGUCUCACAAGAGGGUGAGCCAUAAGAAGAUCCGUCAAUCUUUAUCUUUAUGCUUCCCCUCUGUGGAGGUCUCAAAAAACCUCACUAACGUGCACCUGCCUGCUAGAAUGCGAAGGAAUCUGGAACAAAGAACGAACUAUGAAGUCUAGAGAGGAGGAAUCACUAGCUCCAGACAUCAGAGAGGAGCUAAACUUAGCUUCUGCAAUGAUGUUUCUGACCAUGUUGGGGAUAUUGAGUUCCUUGUCUUGAAAAUACCGAUUGUUAUGUUCGAUCCAGAUUUGCCAUAUGCUAUGAAUGAUGACAGAAAUCAGAAUCUGAUGAGUGAAUUUGCUCCCUUUGCUGAUGUCGGUGUGUAACAGAUUUAGACAGUUGGAAGUGUCCAGGUGUUGCAAUAUCUUGAUAAUAAUAAGACUACAACAGAAAAAUACAACACACUCAACUGAUAGACAUUCAUAGAAAAAAGAUCCAUUGGUGGAGAGUAUUCAAAAAAUCAUUUCAUUUUUUCCAAUGUCAAAGAUACUGAGUAAAAGUACUGCUUCAAAUAAUUCCGCUUAAUUCGAUUAAAAUGGAAACAACAGCAAACCAUAGUGAAUUAAAAUUCAACAAAGUUAUUUAGUUUCUUUACAAAUGAAUAUAGAAAUGCUUAGCUAAGACUAAAACAUCAAAGAUACGUAAUAAACACAAUCAAAAUUCUUAUAUCAAGCGGCUGAUGUCGUUUGUGAGUUAUCAAUAAAGAGGACACACUGAUUCCACAAAUUGAGGCAAGUUUACAUGUAUUUGGAUCAAUAUAACAUCAAACUUAAAAGACAAUAUGUAAAUUAAUUUUGAACCCACAGAAACUUCUUGUAGUCGUCCAGGAUCCAUAAUUACAGUUACAAAACAACACCAAUAAAAGUCAUACGUGAGGAGAAAUUUAGCACCCUUUGUACUUUAUUUCUCACAACUUCAAUAAUGUCAAAUUUCUAUGUGCGACGAUGCAAUAACACCGCUUUUUGACAAUAUUUUCUACUAAAUAGUGUAUCAUGGGAUCAUAUCAAUAUGUCAAAAGUGAUUUUUUUUUCACGCUAUGGCCAUACUAAUCCUCAUGUUAUGUAUUUUCUAUUGAAACAAGCUGAUAAGAUUUUUCAGCACUUAAUUAGCAAACAUACAUUUACUAGCCAAUUUGAAGAAAACAAACAAUAUCAGAAGCAUAACUUGAAUUUGUAAAAUGAAAUAAACUGAAUCACAAACCAUGUAAAAGAUAAUUCAAGCCAAGAUCAAUAUUAAUAAUUAUCAAAAUCUUGAAUGUCAUUACUAGAAUUCAAAAAUUUCACCGUAAUCGUAAACAGAAAAUCUAAAUUAAAUUUGUUAGUAUAAUUUUUAUGGAGCCAUCCUUUUGAACUUCUUGAAUGUCUUUGAAUGUUGAUCUUUGGGUCCCAUGAUGUCUGUCUUAACCAAUGUUCCAGAUGCAAUCUUUAGGUCCCAUGAUAUCUAUGUCUUCAGCAACGUUCCAGAUGAAAUCUUCUUCCAAAAUGGAAAAUUAACUGUGGAGUUGAAACCCAAAAAAUUGUAUGGAUAGAAGAUGAUGUUGGAAAAGAGAUUGUGGUGGUUUGCAUGGAGGGAUUCGAGCUGAAUUUCUAAUGUCCUACUUUGUGUACAGGGCUCUCUCUGUGUGUGUUGGAUUUAUAACCUUUUUAUUAGUGUCUCUGUACAGCUAAAAACCAUAAGAUUAACAUCUGAAAAUAUAAGGAAACAUAAGAUUAACAUUUCCAGUUGUGACAGAUAACUUAUAACUCAAAACCAUAAGAUUAACCAUUCCAGUUGUCAGCAACCACAUUGAAACUUAAUAUUAAAUGUCCAAAAUGCAAGAAAGUUUCACAAAAUUGAUAUGAUGAUUUAGGAAAAAUGAAAUUCAACUCACCGGUCCGCAGGCACCAACCAGGUUUUUCUUAGCAUAGUUUACAUACCGUAUGAGCCUGCGUUAUGUGUUGAAUUGCUCGGUAUCUGGACAAUAGUAAGACCGCAACAGAAAAUUACAACACAGUCAAGUGAUAGACAUUCAUAGAAAAAGAAUACAUGAAUACUAAUAGAAAUUUGCUAAAUACGUUGGAGAUAUAAAGUAGAAUCGCUACUGCAGAUAUUUCCACUACCAUAAUUCAACAUGUGGGUAAUUUAUUUAUUUUAAAUAAUUAAAAAUACUAUUUGAAAGAAUGGUAAGAGAUUAAAUCAAGGUAGAAAAUGUAGUUGUCAUAUACAACACAUUAGCCAUUAAUAAGAGAGACAAAAAAGAGGAUUCAACUAAAUUAUGAAUGGUGGAAAUCCAAAGUCCCAAGAAUUUGUCACAUUCUUGACUCCAAUAAAAUCAUUUGAUACUUCCACAAAACCAUUUGAUACUUCCAUUAAAUAUAUUCAACAAAAUCAUUUGAUACUUCCAUUAAAUAUAUUUAAAAUAUCACACAUCCUGAAUGCAAGAAACUUAAUAAACCAUUCAACAAAACCAUAUAAUACUUCCAUGAAACAUAUUUAUAAUUCUCAAAUUUGAUUCUAUUGUCUAUAUCAUUCUCAGAUUAGUAAAUAAAUAUGUAAUUAUUCCUUUAUUACUUUAUUAAUUUCAAAACUCAACGCCCUAUAUAAAUUAAAUGCAAUCUCUUGAAAAGCUUUAAAACAGGGGAAAUCCGCACAAGCUUUUAUCUUGUGGCAUGAUUGACAAAUGCAUCAAUUUCUUGACAUCUCAUUCUUUAAACCACAAUUUAACAAACAAAAAGAUUGUAAUAUCUCAACAAUAAAUCAAGUUGUUUAUGUUAUGAUAUAUUGAAUCAUCCAAUUGGAAAACAAAAUUAAAUUGUACUAAGAUCGCGUACUUAUUCGCCUGCUAGAAUUGAUUAGCCAUCAAGACAAUGUGUAUCUAGGUUUUCUCUUACAUUGCAAUAAAAAUUCGUUACACUCACAGUGGUAAAAAGACUUGAAUAGCAGAUCCAUUGAGUGUCCACACACAUGAUCAAUAUCAAUAAAUAUAAAAAUGAAUGUAGAAUUUGAUGAUUUAACCCUAAACAUAAACAUAAAAUCUAAAGUAUAUUUUUGAAUACCGUGUUUAUGCCGCCAACCUUCUGAACAGCCCAUUAUGUUGGAAUUUUUCACUUUUUUAAUCAAAGAAAUCACACUCGAGUCGAAGUUGACAUAGAAAAAUAAAACCAUGUCAUCACCAAUAAACAACCAAAGAAAGGAGAUUGUAGAUGACGACAAGAAAUUAAAAUCAUAAUGAUCAGGGAUUAGCAUCAGAUCUCUACAAUAAAGCUGCAGAAAGGAAAUUACAGUUUCGUAUAAAAUUAGAACCAGAGAGAAAAGGAAAAUGAAAUCAGAUCUAAUGAAGAAGUAAAAAUAUUGCAUACCUAUAUGUAGUGAAACUCCAAGCUCACAAAUUGCAGUAUUUGGUUCGUUUGAUUUUAGACGAUAGUGAAUGUAACAAGUAAUCUUCUUUCUACUUACAAGCUUCUAAGAUGUGAAAAUGAUUACAUGCGGCUGGUGGAAGGAGGGGAACAGAGUGUUUGUGGUUAGCUGCGGCUGCAGCUGGUAUAAAGGGUUCCUUUUCAAAACCUAUACAUCAAUCUAUUAUAUAUAGGUGUGAAGAUGGGUUAUUCUACCCGACUUGUUUAGGGCCGGCCCUAACAGACAUUAGACUUUAUCGGACUGGGCUAAAAAGCUCCAUUUAAAUAUGGAAUUUGAAAAAACUAUAUGACCCUCUUAAAAAAAAAAAAAACUAUAUGACCCUAUACAAGCCACGGGAUAAAUUGAUAUGCCAUAAUUAUUUUCAUAUUUUUUAAAACAUUGUAGAAUGUUCAAAAUAAUUUCUUAUGCGCAUUACUAGCAUUUAGACAAACACUUUGUGCCAGUCUUCACACUUUUUUUUUAUUGCAGUAAUGCAUGUAAAUAAUGAACGAUAAUUUUUUUAAUGAAGUUUUUGUUUUGAUUAAAGUUAUAUCUAUAAUUUUUUGUGCCUUUCAAAUUGUAAACACUAUGUUUAUCUUUUUCAAUUACCAAACAAAUAUAGCAAAUAUAAGAUUAAUACUUAUAUUUUUUAAUCACACCAACAAAUAGCAUUAUAUAGACAAAUUUAUUUAAGGGUGUAAUUGAAAGAAUAUAAAAGCUAGACCAAAACCUCAUAUUUCCUUUAUAUAUGGUAUCUCAUUAUAUAUAAUACAUAUUUAUCCAAAGAAAUAUAAUUAAAAAAACAAAACUAAAAAUAAAAUAAAAGCAUGAAAGUUUUGGCGUGACACAACUGAAUUCAAGUUUUACCAGUUUCCAUCUUAAAGCGGUUACAACUUCUUAAGUAUUACAUUUCAUAAGAAUUGAAUAUUUUUUCAUUUUUUUAGUAUCUAUGCAUUCAAUGGGAAAAAAUCAUGUAAAGCGAGUAAUGUGUGAAGUGUAGCUCAGUUGGGUAUGGACAAUAUAUAAUAUAUGCAAGGUUCAGGGUUCAAAGUCCGACCACCACCCAAAAAAAAAUAAAUUAUGUGGACCAUAGUUCUCUUUCAUAAUCAAUAUAAAACCAAACUUCAAAGACAUGCGGUGAAUCAAUUUUGUACAUUGUUUUUGUACAAUACUUUUCGGUGCUAAUUUAAUUGGGUUAAUUUAACUUUAAAAAAAACAUUGUCAUUCCUUAAAAAAACAUUAUUAUUCCUUAAAAAAAAACAUUGUUAUUGAAGAAUAAAGACCUAUAAAAUAGUUGGAAAUCAACUAGCUUCAUAAGAUCGAUGAUGACAAUCACAAAACAACAACAAUAGAAGAAAUUUAAUACCCUGUUGACUAUGUUGCACACAAUUAUAAGCGAAAAAUAGGGGUAAUUUUUUUUAAACAACAAUGAUAUUUAAACACCCCAACUUUUCAUACAUUCACUUAACACGUCAUUUUAUUUCUAUCUCUCACUUUCUAUCACAUCAUAAAACUAUAGCAUCACUCUCUUUUUCUCUGUUUCUUUUAGUUUAAUGGUGUAUACACACACCGACAUGAGGAGUACAUGAGGAGUAAACUGAACAUUUUCUAUGUUCAAAUCCAACUACCAUUGUAGACUUUUUUUAAGUAGAAACUGUAUCCAUUAUUUAACAACACUUCACAUUUAAAAAAAAAUAUCAAUGGGAAUUUUUUCAAUCCUGCCAUGCUAAUCCUUAUGGAAGGUAUUUUCAAUUGACAAAAGAGAUGAUCGGAUAACUAGUGAACAUGAUAAUUACUAGCCAAUUAGAAAAGCAAAACAAAGUCAGCGGUAUAAUUAAAAUUCAUAAAAUGAAAUAAACUGAAUCAGAAGCCACGUAAAAGAUAAUUUGAAACAUGAUCAAUAUCAACAAAUAUCGAAAUCAUGAACGUCAUCACUUUAAUUUGAUGAUUUCACCCUAAACAUAAAAUCUAAAUUAAAUUUUUUAGUUCCAUUUUCAUGGAGCCAUCCUUUUGAACUUCUGACUUAACAUCACGACUUUCGUCAUCCUUUUGAUCAUUCUAAACAUCUGAAAAUAGAAAGAAAUAUAAGAUUGACAAUACCAAGCUAUUGCUGGUAGGUUAGCACCAAAUCAUAUAUGAACAAUAGAAACUAACUUUAAGGAAGGUAACUAUUAAGAAUAAUGAUAUAGUUAGUUAAGAUACUAGUUUUAGUUACUAUAUAAGUCACAUGGUUGACUCAUUUGUACCCACAUCUUUCAUUCUUGUAUUAUUUUCAACCAUCAUCAAGAGAAUAGUUUUCUAAGCUUUUCUCUCUAUUUUCAUGGAUGCCAUGUUUCUCAACAGCCAUGUUUCUCAACAGUAACAUGUUGGAAACAUAUCUUUACAAAGGAAACAUAUCAAAGAUAAACAAUUAACACAACCAUAUCCACAAACAUUGUCAAAGCAAAAAAUUAUCAUACCAAGUGUUUCCAUCCAAUGUAAUAAGUUAAUUAUAGACAAACAAAGCACAUUGAAUCCAAAAAUAUCAUGUUUAUCCCAAAACAAAAUGAAGUAAGUCUGCAUUAAUUUUUGGAUCAAUAUUCAUUUGUGAAUAAGCAAGACACAAGAUCUGGAAAAUUUAAUGUGACUGUAUAAAUAUCUAGUGUUAUAGAUUAGGCAUUUCCAAUUGAUACAAAGCCACACUAUUCAAUUAGCUAUUUUCAAUUGAAACUAGGUGAUCAUAUUUUUCAGCAUUUAAAAAGUCUACUUGACAUUUACCUGCCAAGCCUUAAAAAAAAAAUGAAAAAAGAUAUUUACUUGCCAAUCAGAAAAGCAAAAAAAAGUUAGCAGCAAAAUGUGAACUCUUAAAUGAAUUAAACUGAGACAGCAACCAUGUGCAUGAUAAUUUUAUAGUUGCUCAAUAUCAAUAAAGAUAACACCUUAAAUGUUAGUUCUAAUUAAUUUGCACUCUAUGUCAGAGAUAUAAGUAGAGUUUUGUUGCUACAACUAUUUUCACUACGAUACUGCUGCAAGAGGAUAAUUUAUUUUUAUUUUUAGAAGAAUCAGAUCUACUAUUUGAAAAAGGAUAAGAAAUGAUACAAAAAUAAAAAAUUAAAAGAAAACACUAGCAAACAGUAGUGGACGAAAAUUCAACAUUAUUAUUUAGUUUCUAAACAUCAGAAUAUAAACAGACUCAUGGAAAAGCUUUAAAAUAGGGGGAAAUUCACACAAACUUUUAUCAUAGCAUAGCUCAGUUUCACAAUAAUAACCUUAAACUACUAAAACCAAACCAAACCCUUAAGAAUACCUUCAAUGCAACAACACACCAAAGUACUUCAAAAGCUUCUUAAGAAAGAAAAAAAAAAAAACCACCCACUUUCAAUUACAUUGGUUGCUUUCUUUCUUGUUUACGCUUAAAGCCACAUCCACAGUUUUUCUGUCAAUUGGAGCAUAUAUAAUAUAUGACCCCACCGGAGAUGUGAAACUUUCCUGCAGAAUAACCAUUUGCCUCUGAGUAGGGAUGAAUGACUUAAUAAUUGAAAUGCAGUUUCCAUGAUAGGGUCCAUUUGAAAUGUGUGCGAUUUCAUGCAUUGGAUUUCCACAAGAAAGACCAUCCCACUGUGAUCGUUUUGUAGGAUCUUUGAGCAAUUCAAAAACUUUCUGAGCAGGCAGAGGGAGCCAAAGAGUGGUAGCAGCAGUUACAACAGUGCCAUUUGGCUGGCUUGUAUCAUUGUCGGUGGUAUCGCGAAGAGAGACUCUAAACCCCACCAAUGCUAUCAAGAGUUAAAUGGUUCAAUUCCACUUGACCAGGCAUUGUUAAGCAUUCACAAAACAUUUUGACCAUUCUAUCAGCAAGCUUUAUCACACUAUUCCUCCCUUCAAGUGUUUGGAUCAGCCUCCUCUCCUCUGUUGCCUCUUCAGCUUCCUCUAGAAGGGCUUCCACUUCAGCAAAUGCUUGAGCAGCAUAUGUGGCUGCCUCUUGUGAAGACAGGGACAUUAUCAUUGCUAAUUCUAAGUCUAACUCAGACUGUGUAGGGUUAUAGCUCAAAUCCCUGUCAAACUUCAUAGAGGCAUUCUGCCUCCCUUCCAACAUGGUGACGAUUUAUGUUGGAACAGAUAUGCUCGGGUAGGGGUAGGCAUAAUCCUGUACUGUUUCACCUAAAAUAUAAAACUCAACCCAUGAGUAUGAUCUCUAUUUGAAACCAGUAAAUGUAUAACAGUAAAUGAAGAAAAAACAUUGCAUCCUAAAAUAUUAUAAAGAACAAAAACUAUUUUUAAUUCACGUCAGAAAAUACUAUUUUUGCAGUCGACACUAAAAAAUGUAUAGUUGUAUACUAUAUACUAGAAUCUCAGGCCAAACUCACAAGCAGCAGCAGUAUCAAAGCAACAGAAUACAGAUAAUAGAGUAAAACAAGUAACAUUCUAAUUUCAAAUAGAUAUAUGCACAAUAUUAAGGAUUGUUUAUCAUUUCAACUCAACAAGUCACUAUUUUCAUUUUAUCCGACAUUUUAGUUUUUCUUUUCAGUCUCUCUCCAAAUCCUUGCCCUAAGAUUUUUUAUAGCUAUUACCUAAUAAGUAGGAGAAAUUUGAAUGUCAUUUAACCCUAAACAUAAAUAUAAUAUGUAAAGAACAUUUUGAAGUACCGUUUGUAAGAAGCCCUUCUUUUGAGAAUUAACUUAUUUAAUCAAAGAAAUCACACUCGUUUGUAGAUGACCACAAGAAAUCGAAAUCAUUAUCAAGGAAUAGCGUCCGAUCUCUACAAUGAACCUGCAACAAUUUUAGCAAAAAUUAGAAGAAAAUAGAUUACGAAUAAAAAUGAACACUUGCAAAAAAAAAACAAAAAAAUUGAGGAAAGUGGAAUUAGAUCUGAUCUAAGGCAUACCUUUGUGUAGUUUAAAAUACCAAAGGCUCACUCAUGACAGCUUUUUGUUUACAUUUGGUGGAGUGGAAGGAACAACAAAACGUGAAAGUGAUAAUUUGUGAGAGGGUUAAGGAUAGCAGCAGCAAAUAAUAAUAAUCUGAGAGUGAGUAGCAGCUGCAAGUGAGAAGGGCUACUUUGAAAACCCUAAUUAUCUAUUAUAUAUAUACUAGAGUCAUUCUUGCACAGUUGAGAAUCAAAAUGGGCUACCUGUUUGUUAUGGAUUCGGGUUUUGUUGGGUUGGGCCAGAAAGCCUUAGUUAUUUAAAUACGAAACAUUAUACUUUCACCUCUACAAAGGACAACCCAUAAAAAAUUCACUUUACCCCCCUCUUGUCAUUUGACUUCACCCCACAAAAUAUUUUCUCUACCAAUUUUUAAAUAAUGAAUUGGAUAAAUGACAGUCAAAUUUAUAAAUUGGAAAACAGAAAACAAGUAUUCCAAAAUCACUUUAUGUCUCUUCAAAAAUGACAGCUAAAUUUAUAACAUGUUCUGACGUGUUAGUGAAAUGGUGAAUGGUGAUAAUAAUUUAUUGAAACCAAACAAGAAUUGAAUUGAAAUAUUAAAAAGUUGAGAUAAAGAGUGUCGUUGUGAAAGAGAAAUUACUGAUCAAUUUCAUUUGGAGACAUUUAGUUUAUUAAUCAUGUGGUUGUAAUGCAGAUGUACAAAGUUUAUGGAUUAAUAAUAAAUAUUAAAAGAUUUGGUGGUGAAAUGAGAGAAGAGAAUUGGAGAUCCAGAAAAUUGAAAUGAGGAAGCGGACAGAAGAGAGAUGGAGAGGGAUAUCAUUUAAGACAAGAGAAUAGGAUAAAAUUCAACUAACGAUUGAUGAUAUAAUUUGUAAAAUUUAACUAAAGAUAUAUGAUAUAAUUUGUAGUGGUGAAGUCAAAUGGGAAUAGGAUAAAAUUCCAAUGGUAUAUCAUGUAUCGCGGUAAAGGUAUAACUAUAAGGGUACGUGGUAAAACUUUCAUAAAUACGAAUUCAAAAAUUAAUACAAGAGCCUGGUCAUAUAUAGGUUGCAGGCUAAAGAGGGUGACUCUUAUUUAUUUAUAUAAAAGUUCCUCAAAAUUUCUUAUAACCAAUAUUUUUUAUUUAUCCGAAAAAUAUACCUCCUCCAGAAUAAAAUAUAAACAUAAGUGGUAGUUGAAAAGUCGAUGUGUGGUUAAAAAUUUAGUCCAUGUAUAUCAAAUUCUCAACUACACUUUUUGCUUAUAUUUCAUUGUGGAUUGAGUAAUAAAAAAAACAAAACAUAAAAUUAAAAAUCUUAAUGUUUUGGAGUGAAACAACCUCAUUCAAGUUUAUCACCUUCCGUUUUAAAGCUAUGAUCUUUCCUAGAUUUACAAUUCAUCUAAAAUUGACCUAUUUUCUUUGUUUUGGUAUACAUGCAUUGAAUUUUCUUGUAAUUAUGCCAAACGAGGCAAAAUUGACCUAUUUUCUUAUAUAUUUGUGUAGUUACAUAAAGGCAAAAUUUUAGUGCUACAAAUUUAUUAUAGCAUUUGUAGUUAUAUGGGCCAAAUGAGGUACUCGUGACCCGUACUAGCUCUACUUAGGGAUUCAAUAAAAAGCCUAUAAAAAGUUCUAAUUGGAAGUUUAAAGCCAAAACCCAAUGUUUUUAUUUGGGUUGGCGGCUCGACAAAUAUCUCUAAUUGGAUUAGACAUGAUAAUUACUAGCCAAUUAGAAAAGAAAAACAAUAUCAGCGAUAUUAUUUGAAUUCAUAAAAAGAAAUAAACCGAAUUAUUAACCAUGUAAAAGAUAAUUUGAAACAUGAUCAAUAUCAAUAAAUAAUGAAAUCAUGAACGUCCUCACUAUAAUUCCAUGAUUUCACCAUAAACAUAAAAUCUAAACUAAAUUUUUGAGUUAUAUUUUUAUGGAGCCAUCCUUUUGAACUUCUGACUUAACAUCCCACAAAGUGAAUUUCUUUUGCCUCAGGUAGACGACUUUCUUCAUCCUUUUAAUCAUUCUAAACAUCUGAAAAUAGAAAGAAACACAAGAUUGACAUACCAUACCAAGUUGUCUCUGAAAGCUUAGCACAAAACCUAUAUGAACAGUAGAAACUAACUUUCAGGAAGGUAACAUGUUGGAAAGAUAGCUUUACAAAGGGAAUUUAAAAACCUAUACGACGAUCAAUAGUACAAGAGUUCAAAAACAAAAAAUGAGUAUCUAAUACGACAAAUAAAUACAAAACAACCAACAGCUAGCCAUGUUGGAUAAUAAUUCAAAAAGGUUAAUUAGUUUCUUAAAAUCUGAAUAUAGAAAAGUUUAACUAAGAGUAGAACAUCAAAGAUAAACAAUUACCACAACCAUAUCCCAUAAAAAUUGUCAAAGCAAAAAAACAACAUACCAAGAAGUGUUUCCAUCCAAUGCAAUUCAUUAAUAAUUGACAGAGAAAACACAGAAUCAAAAAAUAUCAUUUUUAUCCCAAAACAAGAUGAAGUAAGUUUGCAUUAAUAUUUGGAUCAUUGGAAAUGGUUUCAAAAAUAUCCAUACUCAUUUCUGAAUAAGGAAGACACAAUAUCUGGAAAAUUUAAUGUGACUGUAUCAAUAUAGGAUUAGGUAUUUUCAAUUGAAACUAGGUGAUCAUAUUUUUCAGCAUUUACUAACCAAUCAGAAAAGCAAAACAAAGUCAGCAGUAAAAUGUGAACUCGUAAAUGAAUUAAACUGAAACUGCAACAAUGUAAAUGAUGACUUUAUAAUUGAUCAAUAUCAAUAAAGAUCUACACCUUGAAUGUUAGUUCUAGAUUUCGAUGAUUUAACACUAAGCAUAAACAGAAAUUCUAAAGAAGAUUUUUUAGUUACGUUUCCUAGGUUUAGAUUUUUUUUUUUUAUCCAAAAAGACAGCAAUGGCGGUUGAACAGCUUCUUGAACACUUCAAAUGUCCGAUUGCACUUGAAAUCAUGUCUGAUCCCGUUAUCCUCUUCUCUGGUCAACCCUUAGACCGUUAUCCCGGUUUUUCGUAGCGUACUCCACAUAGUCUAUGAUGAUGGGAUAUGUAUAGAAAUGUUGAGGUAGGCACAAUCCUGUACUGUUUCAUCUUAAAUAUAAAACUCAAACCAUGAUUAUGAUCUCUAAUAGAAACUAGUAAAUAUGACAUUGAAAAAUGAGAAUAGCAUUCAAAUAUAGCUCACAUAAAUGUAUAAGACUAAAUGAAGAUAUAAUAUUGAUUCCUAAAAUAUUAUAAAGAACAAAAACUAUUUUUUAUUCAUGUCAGAAAAUACUAAUUUUGUGUAAGUCUACACUAAAAAAUGUAGAGUUGUAUACUAUAUACUAGAAAUAUCUCAGCCCAAACUCACAACCAGCAGCUGUAUCAAAGCAAAGAAAUACAUAUAAUAGAGUAAAACAAGUAACCUGCUAAUUUGAAACAGAUAUAUGCACAUUAUUACACGGACUAUUUCUCAUCAUUUCAACUCAACGAAUUCACUAUUUUCAUUUUAACUCGACAUAUUUAAUUUUUCUUUUCAGUCUCAUUUUCAACAAUGUUGCAAUGUUGCAGUUCAUUUUCAACAAAAGUAAGAUGCAAUCAUUCAUCACACAUAUCACCAUUCAAAAAAAUCAUACAUCUCUACACUUGCAAGAAUAAGAUGCAAUAUUACAAUAAAAGCAAUGUAAAAAAGGGGAUUUAGAAAUUUGACCAGGUCCUUCUUCUGUUGAAUUCUUUCUCCACUAAAUGUCACUAGCUUGAGUCUUGCUUAUUCCAAAAUCACCUGAGAGGAUGUGUACUAUUUCUAUAAUCUUGGAGAAAUAUUUUUCUUCAAGAAUUUCAUAAAUAGACUUCAAAUCAUUUCCUUCAAGAUUUGUAAGGUCAUUCUGUUUACCAAUUCCUACUGCAUCGAUAAGAGCUUCAACUCCUACUUCACUCUUCAAAGCAAAAACGUUGUUUUCUAACGACAAUUUUCCUCCCCAAAAAUUCUGACACACCUACAAAUUCCAAUGCGAUUGAAUUUAAUUUUAGCAAAAAACACAAGUGAAAGUGAAUAUUCAUUACAACAAUAAAUCUAAGCCAAAAAUUCUGACACACCUACAAAUUCCAAUGUGAUUGAAUUUAAUUUUUGAUCUCUAUGUCGUUAGAACUUUGACACAUGUGAGCUAUUUUAGCAUGACUUUAGGAGGAAUUUGGAUCCUCUGCAUGUCGAUGUUGCUUCUCUUAAUCACAGUUGCAUAGUGAUUUUCUUGAAGUUUCAAUGUGUAACUUUUGGAAAAUCGCACUGGCGCACUGUGAUCUUAUCAAACUCAAUGCCAGUUCAAACAUGCAUGAAAGUUUUUACUUGACUUACAAUGGGUUCAUAAAUGUAUCGUAUCUCAGUUUUCACAAAGUCGCAUGUAUGGCAGUAUAUUCCAAUUUGUUCAUCCAAUCGAUAAUCAUGUUCUCAUAUUUCCUUGAAUUCUUUCUUUGUGUCAGCUAAAUCCUCAUCAGCAUUUGCACCCUGCUAUGGUAAUUAAUAUUUGAACAUAAUCAGCCUUUAGCCUUAAAAUAGAAGAUAAAACCAAAAAACAAAGUAUUUAAUUCAUAUAUAUUGUGACUAAAACAUUUGCACACUGUCUAUCAAUCAUAAUUGUCACAUCCUUAAACAUAUUUGACUUGAACCAUAAAUGGUUCAAUGGUCAAUUAUAUGAUUUUGAAUUCAAAUGUGAAGGUGAUUAGAUUUUUCAACAUUAAAUUAGUGGCCAUGACAUGUACAAGCCAAAUAAAAAAGUAAAACAAGAUCAGCGCUGCACAAUCUAAAUUCAAAAAAUGAAAUAAAGUGAAUUAUUAAUCAUGUAAAAGAUAAUUCUAUACUUGAAUAUCAUUACUAUGACUCAAUGAAUUAACCCUAAACAUAAAAUCUAAACUAGAUUUAUGAGUACCAUUUGUCUGGGUUCAUCCUUUUGAGCUUUUGACUUGAAUCUCAUCAUAUUUGAAUUUGUAGCCUUUUUAAUCAAAGAAAUCACACUCGAUGUUGAAAUAAAACAAAAGAAUAAUGUCACCAAUAAACCACCAAAGAAAAGACAUGUAGCUGACGACAAAAAAUUAAAAUCAAGAUCAAGCAGUAGCUUCAACUCACAUGAAGCUGCAUCAAGUUGUUACAGAUAAGAAAUCAAAAUUAGAACACAAAAGUAAUAAAAUGAUUGGCAGAAAUUAUAAUGAACAGAUGCAAAAAUUUUGAAUCAAAUCCAAUGUAUACCUAUGUGUGGUUAAACCAGGGGUACCUUUUGUCUACAUUUUAGUUGAAGGAACAAGUGUUAAUUGAUGAUUGACUGUGGAUUCGGUAAUAAUUUGAAUUAGAGAUAGAGGCAGAUAAGAGCGGCCAGUGGUAGGAUUGUGCAAGUUUUCACUUUGGACCAAAAACACCCGCACCUUUUCUUUUUAAGUGAUGGGCAAAUAUGUAAUUUAAAAACUAAUAUUUGGGAUGGGCAAAAAUGUAAUUUAAAAUUUAUAAUAAAAAAUUAUUAAAUGUAUGUCACCUAGACCAAUACUCAUAGAAACUUAAUUAAUACUUUUACAAAAUGGCAUAUAUUUUCUCUUGUUAAGAUUUUACUUUGCUUUUUAAUUCAAAAAUGUAAUUUUCUACUUGACUUUUAGAGAAUGAUAAAUCAAAACUGAAUCAAACCGCACCGCGAACACCCGUAUCUGAUAGUUAUUUUUUAAAAUGUUCGAAAUCGUUAAGGUAGUAAAUUAAAACGGUAAGACCGAGUGUCCACUCGAGGAUCGCGCAUUAUAUUUUCAAAUUAUAUUUAUCUUUUAUCUGAACAAAAUGUUGGUUAAUUUGUUGGAUGGCAAUUAUGACAAUUAAGCAAAUUAAGAUUGGUUUGUAAUUAUAAAUUGUCAGAGAUGAGAUUCACUACCAUCAAUCCAAACAUAGCAUAAGUUAUCAACUUUAAUAUGACUAUCAAGUGACAUCAAAAUACAAUUUUUACAAGUGACAAAAUACAAUUUUUAAUAUCAGCCCAAAAUGAUAAUAUCCAAUGCAACACAAGACAAACAAAUGAUAUUCUUUUUAGUAAAAAAAAAAAAAAAAAAAAAAAAAAACAUGGAUGUGCUAGUUAAAUAAAUACAUUUUUUAUGUAAAUUGUACUGCCAGAUUCCUGAGAGGUCACUUGGUUGAAAGAUAAAUACUUUAACCUUGAGAAACUCAGUUCGAGACUUGGCAUCGUGAUAUGUGAUAAAACUUUGAUUAAAAAUGCAAAAAAAUAUGAGGUAUUUCAAAAUACCUCUCUUUUUAUCACUUUUAUUCAAUCUUUUUGGAUAUUCAUUUCGAAACAAUAGCGUUGGUGAAUCAGAACUGUUUUUUGAUCGAAAGCAACUGGCAAUGGAGGUGUUGAAAGUGCAUUGAAGUUAUCAUCCGAUAGAUUUUACGCCAACAUCCGUGACCAGCUAUGACUGCUUCAUUACAUGAUUUUGAGCUUUUCUUUUUUCUGUUUGUCUGGAUUUUAUGCGGUUUGUUGUAGAUAUGCAUCAAAGCUUCAUUAACAAUGGAAGAAGACCUGCCAAAGAAAUUAAAAUCAAAGAAUCUUAGUACUCCAAAAAAAUAAAAAAAUCGAUGUGACACCUAGGUGAUUGUGGUAAGCCAUAAUAUCAAGAAAAUUUAAUGUGAUUGUAUUAGUAUCUAGUGUUAUGGAUUAGGUAUCUAGUCACAAUAUCAAUAUAAUUAAAUAUCAAUAUCAAUAAAGAUAAUUGUAUAGAUGAAUCAGUAACCAUGUAAAAGAUAGUUGUGUAGAUGAAUCAAAAAAUAUUGAAGUCUUGAAUGCCAUUACUAGAAGUUGAUGAAUAAACGCUAAACACAAAAUCUAAAGUGGAAUUUUGAGUACCAUUUUUGUGGAGCCAUCCUUCUCAACUUCUGACUUAGGAGCCAAUCCUGGUCAAAUUUCUCGCUUUUUAAUCAAAGAAAUCACAGUCGAUAUUGACAUAGAAAAAUAGAACGAUGUCAACAAUGAACCGGCAAAGAAAGGACAUCGUUGAUGACGACAGUAAAUUAAAAUCAUGAUCAAGGAAGAGCAACAGGGCAAAAUGAUUAGGCAGAAAUUAUAAUGAAUUGAUGCAAAAAAGGGGAAUCAGAUCCAAAACAGCGUAUUGUUUACAUUUCGUUGGUUCUAUUUGAGCAGCAGCGGCAGAUAAUUGUGGAGUGGAGAGCAGACAGUGGAAGAAACAAAGUGGGUAGAAGCGGCUAGGGUUCCUUUCCACACCCUAUAUAUAUAGAAAAAUGCUAUUUCUCGCGACAGUUUCCUUCCCGAGAGUGACCCGAAUGACAUGUUGAUUACGUGUAAAAGACAUCUGGACAAAUAAUAAAAUCUUCCCCAAUUCAAAAACAUGUGUAAUUCUCCCUAGAUUCCGCGACCACCACACUUUCAUCCUCUCAUCCUGUUUCUCCCGACUCCUUUUUGUGUGUGUUUCGUCUCGCCGUUCCUUUGUUAUUACGCCGGCGUCGUUCCUUUGCCGUGUUUCGUUGUCAUUGUUCAAUUGCCGUCCGUUGUCGUUCCUUUGCCGUAUUUCGCCGUUCCUUUGCUUACUACAUUGAUUUUAUAUGGAAAUUGGGUAAAUUUCUCUAUGGAAUUCAAUCAAUUUUCUUUUAAAUUAAAUUGAUUUUUGGUUGUUCUCUUUCUGGUUUUAGUCAAUGUUUUUGGAUGUGUUCUGUUGAUUUGGUGGUUUUUUUGCUACUUUUGCUUUGCUUGCAAAUUUUUGUAGAGGAACAUUCCCUUCAAUUCAUGUUUGAGCUGAAAAACAUUAUGAAAUUCUAUCACCAAAGUUAAAUUUUUUAAGAAGAAAAUUAAGUAUGAAGCUGAACAGAAGAAGCAAAACAUUAUAAAAUUCUGUCACCAAAGUUAAAUUCUGACUUAGCUAAAAGAUUGGAUUCUACUCAGAUUCUUUCAAAUGAUGUUCUUUAAAUAGUAUCAUAGGUGUUUAUAGUAGUGGAUAAGUUCUAAGGUGUUUAACAAUAUCUCUAAGAGAGGGGAGGAGUUAGUAGAGCAAGUGUAGGUUCUCUCUUGGACUUGGAAUUAAAAUUUACUAUUUUUUUAUUAGAUAUUUGUUGUAUCCAUGCCUCUCUCUUGGUGUUCUAUUUUGUCCUUUGUAAUUUUAGUAUUAAUCUGGUUUUUUUCUUCCAAGUUCCAAUUCCCCAUAUCGUAGAUACAUUUAUGUUUUCUAAAAUAAGGGUUAGAGUUUUGUUGAUGCGAUAAAGAUGUAGAUUCUCUUCCUGAUGGUAGGGGUUCAAAACCAAACAAUUCCAAUAAAAAAAACUUGAAACUGAACCAACAGAAACUGCAAAAACCUCAAUUGGUUUAGAAGUUUUGGAAUUAUUAUUUUACUCAACCGCAUGGUUUGGGUUACUUUGUGAUUUUUAUUUCAUCGGUCGAAUGAAACCAAACCAAUUAACAACAUAAUAAAAAAACAUAUUAAAUAUUUGUCACCUAGACCAAUACUCAUAAAAACUUAAUGAAAACUUUUACAAAAUGACAUAUUUUUUCUCUUGCUAAGUUUCUACUUUGCUUUUUAAUUAAAAAAUGUAUUGUUCUACUUGAACUUUAAGAGAAUGAUAAAAUCUUAGUCUUUCACAUUUCUUACAAAAUGAAAUUACUUUUUGUCCAUGUUUUUAAUUUGAUUGGAUGAAAUAUAAAGCAUUGUUGGAAACAUUGCUCGAAAUAUGUUGUGUUUUUGCAUUUUAAAUUAAUUUUAAUGUUGGAAACAAAAAAUUGUAUUGUCUCGAAAAAAUUCCGAACCAACUGAACCAAUCAAAGCCCAUUGGUUUGGUUUUGUUCGAAAGACUUUUUAAAAGCUAACUGAAACAAACUGAACCGCAUGGUUUUUUUUAUCUCAGGGUUAGGAUGAAAUUUAUGCUUAAAACUGAAUCAAAUCGAACCGCGAACACCCCUACCUAAUAGUUAUUUUUGAAAAUGUUAGAAAUCGUGAAGGUUAUAUUUUUAAACAGUAAAACCUAGUGUUGACUCGAGGAUCGUGUUAUAUUUUUGAAUGAUAUUUUUAUAUUAACUAAACAAAAUGUUAGUUAAUUUGUUGGAUAACAAUUAUGACAAAAGCAACUUUAAUAUGGCUAUUGAAUCCCUUUAUCUCAUUACUAUCGAAUUCUCUAAAACACUUUUGCCCUAAUUCCUUAGUGACAUAAUAGUAAUUUCUAAAAUAACCCAUGAUCCCUUAGUGACUUUAAGAUUAAAAUUAAGAAUGAACAUACAAGAAUUAUCAAUUGAUUUCAAGGGAUUGUAUCUAUUCCUAUACUACAAAGGCAAGAAUUGCUUAUCUCAAAGUGUUAAUAAAUUAAAUUUCCAUUUAACAAUAUGAAUUGUAAAUUAGCUUAAACACGCUCAAGCGUUAAAAACAUUCUGCAUGGAGAUAAGAAAAUAAUUUUGAUAAAUUUCAUCAAUAAUUAAUGAUAAGAUCACUUGACAAAAGUUUUUCAUCUAGUUCUUCUCAUUCCCUAAAAUAGAGGAUUUAGUUACUCUUGAUAAAUAUACAAGAGAUAGAGAUUGAAUAAGAAUUGCGAGAAAAAUUCAUGAAUGAUUCUUGAAAAAACUCCUUCAAUGAUGUUAAGUUACAUUAAGCCUCGCUUCCCUACACUCCAAAUUUUCAUUACCAAAAAUAAAUGCAAUUCUCUCUAAACAUAUCAAUUCAAUCUCCAACUAUUCUUGUCCCAUCACACCUAACUCCACUAUUGGUUUAAGUGGAAAUUGCAGCAAGCCACAUUUAUUACUAAUGUUAAUGUCCUUCCAUUCGUAUGUUGGAAUGCCAUUUUGUGCAUUCCAUGGAUCAACCUUUAUGCCAAAUUCGUAUGAAACUAUUCUUUCUCAGCUAUUGGAAUUUUUAUAACGACGUGUUUAAAGAACCUACUCAGCUUCCACCUUCAUGUACUAGGUUUGAUCAUAAAAUUGCUUCAAAGGAAGGAGUGCAACCUUUAAAUAUCAAACCUUAUCGGUUUUCUCUCAUUCAGAAAAAUAGGGCAUAGUGCAACAUAGUACUAGUAUGUUUGCCUUUUCCUAUUAUCCAUGUCCGCAAGAUGGAUGGAUCAUGGAUCAUGUGAUAGACUAAUAUUAACUUGGUGGAGAGUAUUCAAAAAUUCAUUUCCUUUAUUUCUAUAUGAUUACUAGUAUUAAUAUGGUUUCUAUGUCAGAGAUUCAAAGAAAAUUUGCUGCUUCAAAUAUUUCCAAGUAAACAACAGAAAACCAUCGUUGAUUAAAAUCCAACAAAGGUAUUUAGUUUCUCAAAAUAUGAAUUUAUAAACGUCAAUCUCAGACUAGAGCAUCAAAGCUAUUAAAGAAGUUUAUAUUACGUUGCCCAUUGAUUCCAAAGAUGUAUUAUUUAUGCCAAAACGGAAUGAAGCAAGUUUACAUAUAUAGGAAUAGUUGAUGAUAUUUAGUUGGCAUAGAAAAAUGGAUAUGUUACUUCCGUGAUAAGACUAAUAAAAAUGAAUAGUUUACUUCUGUUAUAAAGUAUACUUACAUGGACAUUGUAAACUAAGUUAAGUCAAAUUGAUACAUAAACAAGUUAAAACAAGUAAUAUAUUCAAUAGUUCAAGGCGUCAGGCAUAAAAUUGUCUAUAUUAAAAAAAAAAAAAAUUAACAUCAUCAGGGAUAUCCCAAUAGUGGUAGACACUUAAAAAGUACAACACAUUGUUGGCUAUAGAGGCAACUUAGUCAUUAUUAAACUGCAAGUUAGAACUUAAAAUAUUUCAUUUCCAUAGUUCCAUUUCUAUAAAGCUAUUUUUUACAACAUUUUGUACUAAAUAGAGUAUCAUGGAAAAUAUCAAUAUGUCCAAACCCUGCCCCCACAAUAGCCACUAUUUAACAACACUACAUUUCAAAAAAGUCAAAAACUUUCCAAGAUCAUUUAAGUUAGAUUUUAUAACAAGUUACUCCUUAAGUUUUUUUGUUACCAAUUGGUCUUUUAAGUUUCUUUUUGUUAUAAAUUGGUCUUUAAGUCAAAGAAUAUUAACACAGUCAACAAUGUUUUCAGCCAACUUCGUUAAAAAGUUCUUAUGAAGCAAUUAACAUAUAUAGGUGAUAGGUCCAAAAUUGUGCUUAUGACAUGACACAUGAUUACUUACGCACAUUCUCAUUUUGUUUUUCAAAUCAAUCAUAAUUUUACAAAUAAACAUUACUUUAUCAACAAUAUUAUAAUUCAAGUAAUCAAUCACUUUUAUUUCAAAUCAAAGUAAAAUAACACACAUAUGAACCCUAGUUUUGAGAGAAGUGAAUUCCAACAUACCAACUUAAAAUUAAACGUCCACAUAAAUUUUUUUAACUGGGUGUGAAGAAAAUAUAAUAUUGUUGCAUAUAUUUUAUGAAUUAAUCGACCAAUUUGUAACAUAAGUCCAAGGCUGAUUGUUUUAACUUCUACAUCUUUAAAAGAUUUUCAGUGCUUAUUAGAGAGGAGGUUGGUGUUCUUUUCCAGCAACUUUUCUUUAACGCCUCGCUCCCUAAAAGCUUAUCCUAUUUAUCUUGUGGGUUUAAUCCCUAAAGUUUAUACCCCUCAAUCUCUUGGUGAGUUUCGUCCUAUCUCUCUUCUAGGUUCCCUGUAUAAGCUGGAUGCUUCAAGGUUGGCCUCGGUGAUGGAUAAAACCAUCUCGUCUAACCAGUCAGCUUUACUUAAAGGUAGGCAAUUGGUGGUUGGAGUGGUAGGGGCAAUGAGGUUGUGGACCUAGCCAAAAAAGCUAAUCAAAAUUACCUCAUUUUUAAAAGUGGACUUUGAGAGAUAUUAUGACUCAGUGAGUUGGAGUUUCCUGGACUGUUUGUUGAAUAGAUUUGCUUUUGAUGAUAAAUGGUGUGCUUGGAUGUGAGCUGGUGUUUUGGCAGGUAAUUAAUCUCUCAAUGCUUGUGAAUGGGCGUCCAACUAUAGGAAAUUAAUAUUUAGCAAGGUCUUAAAGUUGGUAGAUCUAGGUUGUCUAUGACGCACCUUCAAUACGAUGAUGAUACUCUUUUCAAAUAAAAGGCAACAAUGGAGAACCUUUGGGCAAAUAAGACAAUCUUAAAGGUGUUUUAAGCUUGCCUCAAGUCUUCGUGUAAAUUUUGGUUCGUGUAAAUUUUGGUAAGAGUUGUAUUAUGAGAAUUUAUGUUGAUGCAUCUUUCCUUAGCCCACUGUAGUAUUGGUGAUGAAUACUCUAGUAACUGGUAUGAGCUCGUGGAGUAGUACGUUUGUUAGUUUGGAAGGGAGGGUGUGAUUCUUUUAGACUCAGUACUUUACUCUAUUCCACUAUUUUUCCUCUCCUUUCUGAAAAUGCAAAAUGGUCUAUGUGCUUCUCCUUUUUUAUUUAUAUAUAAUAUAUAUAUACUAACUAUUUAUAAAAAUUUAUGCUAGAUGAAUUUCCAAUUUUGCCCUCUUGAGGGGCAAUUUUGUAAUCUAAUAAGUGUUUAAAGUUUGGUAGUGCCACCUCAUUGCAUUAACUACUUUCUUCUAUAACUCAGUUCUCGCAUUUGGAGACUUGGUUGAGCCAAAAAAACACUAUUUCAUCUUCUUAUUCAUCAAAGGUAAUUUAUUUCUCUUUUCAUGAAUCUAAGACCAUGUAUUUCUUGCAUUGAAUGAGUUUUCUUCAUUUUGUGUUUUAUUUUUGUUUUUCAUAUGAGAUUGCAUGUUAGGAUUUUGUUUUUUCCUUUAAUUUUUUUUCAUUCGCAGGUGAUUUUUAUAUUUGUUUUUGUGCACAGGCAAUUUGUGGGAUAAUUAGAACAAUAGGACAACCAUUAUUUGAUGAAUACAGUGGAAAUUAUCAGAUCAAGGCAAUUGAGUCUUGCUACUCUUCCUCCUACUAUAUGUGGUAAGUCGAUCUUUUCGUGUUGUGUUUUAUCGUAUAACCUGAAAUUCAACUGUUUUAGAAGAAAUUUCAUGUUAGUACAUGAUUACAUGUCUUUGUGUGUCAUAAAGAUAGAAUAGUAUAGGUGCAAUUGAGUUGAGGAGAUCAAUGGGAAGGUUGUGUCAUAAGAGUUCUUAUCCCUGAUUAUAGUUAGGCUUCCUGGGUCAUAAAAUGAACAUAUAUUAAUUGAAUGAAAUUACUGGAUGAAAAUACUAACUGAGUUAAUAUAUGUGAAUCAGACAUAGCUAUAACGCGCGCAUAUAAUCUUAGCCGAAGGGCAUUAUAUGCGCGCGUUGUACCCUUUUAGAAAGUGAGAUACAAAUCACACCAACAUUAAUUCCUAAAUUUUAAACCAGUAUUAACAGAAAAAUAAACAAACUCUUAGCGGCCAGAUAAAACAUCAAACGUUGUAAAUUUUGUGGCCACACUAAUCCUUAUUCAUUAGGUACUUCAAAUUGAAACUAAGAGGUGGUCAUACUUUUCAAAUUUUAAUUUGCAGACAUGACAUAUAAGUACGCCAAUUCGAAAAGCAAAACAAAAUCAACAAUAUAAUAUGAAUUCACAAAAUGAAAUAAAUUGUACCAAAAACUACUUAAAAGAUUUUUUUUAUUGAAGAUGUUAAAUCAGUCCAACAAAAUUGGUGGCAACGAAAAUCAAAAUGAGAACUUGAGUGGAGUAUACUCAUGAUCUAAUGUCAACACCAUCAAUCUAAUCCAAGUGGCUAGAAAACUAUUUAAAAAAUAAUUUGAGACAUGAUCAAAAUCAAUAAAUAUCAAAUCUAGAAUGUCAUUACUAGAAUUCAAUAAUUUCAUUAAACAUGAAAUCUAAAUUAAACUCUUGAACUUCUGACUUAACAUCCCGAAUAUGAAAAUCUAAAAUGUCAUUCCUAGAAUUCGAUAUUUUCACACUACACAUAAACACAAAAUCUAAAAUAAAUUUUUGAGCAAUUAUUUUGAAUUUCUGAAUUAAGAUCUCAUCAUAUGGACUUUCUUCUUCUCCCUUAGGUGGACUUUCCUCUCCCUCAUAAAAUGAAAUUCAACUCACCCUUACAUGGGCUUGAAUCAUGCAGCUGUUCCAUUAUCAUUGCGCAAGAUGUUGGACAUAUAUGACUUCAAUCUUAUGUUUCUCCAUUACAUAAAAGAUUGUGAUCAACAUGUCUGGUCUCUUGGUUGAGUAUAUGCAAAAUUGUGCUUCAUCUCCGCAAACACUAAAGGUAACAUUUAGAGAAAACAACAUUUGAUCAAAAGCAACUGGCAAUGGAGGUGUUGAAAGUGCAUUUGAAGUUAUCAUCUUAGAGUUAUUACUCCAACAUCAGUGAAUUUUACUGCUUCACUACAUGAUUUGAGCUUUUCUUGUUUCUGUUUGUCUUCAUUUUAUGCAGUUUGUUAUGGAUAUCCAUCAAAGCUUCAUCAAUAGUGGAUUAAAUCCUGCCAAAUAAAUCAAAAUCAAAGACUCUUAGGACUCCAAAAAAAUAAAAAUAAAAUCAAUUUGACACCUAGGUGGUUGUAUCAGUUAGUCAUAAUAUCAAGAAAGUUUAAUGGAUUACAUAUUAUAUCAGUUAGUCAUAUUAGUAUCUAGUGUUAUGGAUUACAUAUUUUCAAUUGAAACGAGGUGAUCAGAUUUUCAACAUUUAAUUAGCAGCCAUGACAUGUACUAGUCAAUUUGAAAAGGAAAACAAGUUCAGCAGCAUAAUCUAUACGUGAUAAUUCUAUACAUGAUCAAUUUCAAUAUAAUUUAAUAUCAAUAUCAAUAAAGAUAAUUGUAUAGAUGAAUCAGUAACCAUGUAAAAGAUAGUUAUAUAGAUAAAUCCAUAAAAAUCGAAGUCGUGGAUGUCAUUACUAGAAUUUGAUGAAUUAACCCUAAACAUAAAACCUUUUUUUUUUUUUUUUUGAAAGACAUAAACAUAAAAUCUAAAGUGAAAUUCUGAAUACCAUUUUUGUGGAGCCAUUCUUCUCAACUUCUGACUUAGGAGUUGAUGCUGGUUUAAUGCCUCGCUUUUUAAUCAAAGAAAUCACACUUGAUAGAAAAAUAGAAGAUAUCACCGAUGAUCCACCAAAGAAAGGACAUUGUAGAUGAUCAAGGAAUAGCAAUAGGUCAAAAUGAAGCUGCAACAAACUGUUACAGAUAAUAAAUUAUAAUUAGAAUACGGAAGUAAUAUGAUGAUUUGACAGAAAUUAUAAUGAACAGAUGCAAAAAAGUGCAAUCAGAUCCAAUUCAUACCUGUGCGUAGUUAAACCAAAGCAGAGUUUUGUCUAUAUUUGAUUGGUUCGAUUUGAGUUGAUAUAUGAAUGACGGUGGAAUCAGUAUAAUAAGUUGAGCAGCAGCGGCAGAUAAUUGUGAAGAGCAGCGGCUAGGGUUCCAUUCCAAGCCGUAUCUAUCUAAAUGUAUAUAUAGCAUUGUGCAAAUUUUCAAUUUGGACCAAAAGCCCCAUAUUUUCUUUUAAAGUGAUGGGCAAUUAUGUAAUUUAAAAUCUACUAUUUGUGAUGUGCAAUUUUGUAAUUUAAAACUUUAUAUUUUUUUAUUAGAUCUUUUGUUGUAUUUCAUUUUUUUUUUGGUUACAUUUUGUUGUUGUUGUUGUUGUAUUUCAUAUGUUUCUCCAGGUUCUUUUUUACGCUUUGUAAUUGUCGUAAUUAUUCAUCCAAUCUAUCUCUAAACCAUGAGGCAACUGAUAAAGAGUACAAUUAGACUUAAAUAAUUGAUUUAGAUAUUAAACUUAAGGUUUUAUCUCACCAUUAUCACCACCUUUAACAUUAUCAAUUAUCAUAAUUAAUAGCACCAUAUCUAAAAUUUACCUUGGACUUAUCAUUAACUUGAGAGAAUAACUUUUAAAAAACCUAAACAUGCUUCCCUCGUUUAAGUACAAUUAUAUGGAACCUUAAUGUUUAAUUUCGGAAUCCAAAUGUGGAGAAAAAAACAAAGUUCCCCGAUGUUGUCAAGGGGGAACAACCGUGCACCCCACAUGCACGACCGUGCGCCUGUGCUGAAGCAAAGAGGAAGGUUUUCGCAAAAAAAUUUGGCACGGUCUGUGCUUCCCAGGCACACGACCGUGCACAACUCUCAAAUUACAGAAAUCGCAGAAUUUAUGCGAUUUCACCCAUGGGGCCUUCCCAAGCUCCGUAUUCGAUCCCUAACUAAACAUCACCCUAAGUUUACUCGAACAUUUAAACAUUAAUUUCCUCACAAUUCACCUAAUUACAACAACUUCUCACAUGAUUAAUGUUAUCAUGGUUUUUGGGUGCCAAGCCAUUAAUUGGACUUGUACCUUUCGACCGUUGAUAUCUCUAUUUUUUCUUGGGAAGGGCAAAAUUGAGAAAAACCCUUAGAUUCUAAGUUCGGGGGUCGGUUUUACUACGGGAAGGUGUUAGGCACCCGGAGUAACUAUAGUCCUCUAUAGGAGCCGUUUUCCUAAGUCUAUAUUCGCGCUUAUUUUUGCUUACUUUUGAAAAUGGGAGGUUUAUUUAGUUAAGAAUGGGGGGAGAGAUUGUAAGACUUUGAUUUUAUUUCGGCUUGGAUGAGUUUUGACUCAUUGCCUACGUACCGUUUUACGGGAUCAAAACCGGCGUAGUUCUUGCUAAAAAGACUUGUUUUUCUUUUGUUUUAAUUGUUUGAUUUCAAGUUUUGAAAAAAAGGUUUUGAAGAAGGAGAUUGGGAGGCUUCAUGAGCAUUAGAUUUUAGCAAAAGGUAAGGUUUGAUUAGUGAUUUCGAAAGAAAGUCUAAAUGAUUAAGAUGAAUUGAAUUUUUCUUAAGAAAAAAGAAAGGAAAAAAUGAAGUGUUGACUUCAUACUUAUUAUGAAAAUUUUUGAAGUGAAGUUCAAUUGUUUUUUUUUUUGAAAAAAGAUGGAUUUUCUCUAAGCGUUUAAACCUAAGCGCUCAUCUAACCAUACAAUCCUAUGCAUACAUCUAAGGUGAGUGUGUGCGUGUCGGUGCGUCAUAGUGUCCAUAGUCCAUAUUACAAAAAUUGCCUAAAUACAUUCUAUGGCCCCUUUGCCAAGCUACAAACCAAUGAUAACAAAUUACAUUACCAAAUGAAUUAAAACUUGCAAAAAAAACAAAUGCUAGGCUAAAAAGUGGAGGGAAUGCUAAAUGAGAUGCAUGAAACAUGAGAUGAAAUGGUUAGUAACCAUAAAGCACAAAAUAAUAGGAAAUAUUCAAAAGGAAAUGCAUAAAAAUGGCAAAGAAAAGGUAAUAAAGUGGCAAUAAACCUAAAAACUUUGAUGUGAUACCUAAAGGUGCUUGUAACCCAUAAUCAUCACAUCAUGGCAAUUUUGAAAGAAAUUUUGUUUCAAGCCAUGACAUGAAAUUAAUGGAAACAUAUGCAAGCAAGGUAUCACACCAAAUUCAUAGAGAAAUUUGACACUUUAUUCCCUAAAACAAACACUUGUUGCUUGUAAAACAAGAAAUCCAUAAAAUCAUAUUCAAAACAGCAAAAGAAACACAUGUUCAGAGGCAUAUUCAUCAUAAGAUAUGGCAUCAUUUAUUCAUAACACAUAUCAAAGUAUCAAGAACAAAAACAUAGCAAAAAGUACAUCAAAAGUGUAAAAACACAUGGAAAUUAGUUCAUGCCAUUUUAACAUUUUUUACAUGCAAGAAAACACCAUAAAAAUGCCAAAAAUAUACCAAGAAACAACUAGGAUUUUUCAGGAAUUUUUAUAAAAAAAAAGGUAAGCAAGUAGCAGGUUCAGAUAGCAAGAAAGGCGGUGCAAAUAGCAAGAAAUUAACAAAAAAACGUAAAAAGAAACAAGCCCAAACCAAAGCCCAAUCCUACAAGGUCCGGAAGCAUGGGAUCCACACGAUUGAUCCAGGAUUCAAAAACCCUAGAUCAAACGGCCAGGAAUCAAAGGGGAAUGGACCGGAUUGAACCGGUCCGGUUCGCUGGCCUAUAAAAAUGGAAGGACACCGGUUUUUUCAUUUCUCUACUUCCCUUUCUCUCUCUAAGUUCUUCCCUCUUCUCUCAUCUCUCAUCUCUCUCUAAACCCUCACCGGAUUCUGGAAAAACACGGAAGAUCUUCAUCUUCCCCGGUGAGUUUUGCUCCUCCGGCGUGGUGGCCGGCCGCCCAAGGGUGGUGGCGCCGCCGCCGGAGUUGAACAAACUUCACCGUUUUCAAAAAAAACUUACAUUUUCAGAUAUCCUUUUCCAUCCUAAACACGAAUAUGACACUGGAUUCUUCAUGCAAGGCGUGAAUCAACGUAGAUCUACGUUUUUGUGUCACGGUUUUGAGAAAAAAAAAAAUUUAGGUUUUCAAAGAAUUUUUAAAAGAAGCUUGUAACACCUCAAGAUCUACAUUGAUUCCGUGUUGGCUAUCUCUCUGGCACUCGUCCUUGCUUACAACUUCUGGAUUUCUAUGGAUCUAUGUUUUUGCUUACGGUUAUGAUUUUUUUUAUGAUUCUGGAAAUUUUUUUGGAUCUUGUUUGCAGGUUUAACAGUGAUUAUGCUUUUUAAAGAGAGAAAACUGAGUUUUACCUGAAUUUUGGUUGAGAUUCUUGAAGGAGAAAAUCUUCGGAAAACUUGAACGUUCUUUGAUUUUCUCUGAACCGAAAAUAAAUCGGUUUACUGGCUUGGUUUCUUCAUCUUCUCCGGUUCUUUCUCUGAUUAUACGUUUGAACUUGCUUCUUUGAUUUCUUUGCGAGAGGCUCCCCGUGAUCAACGCUUGAGCUUGCUUUGAUGCGAGCUCGCGUUUGGAAUUGCAGGGAAUCAAUCAAUUCAGUGAUGAAGAUUCAUACGAAUCUCUGAGAAUUGAUGCGAAAAACACUGAAACUUGAUGAAUUUGUGACUUUCUGGAAACGGUUAGGGUUUUGUGUUCUUCGUGUUCUUGAUGAAUCUGAGAAAUUUUCUGUUUUGAUCUAACUGAUUGGAGAGAGAAUCUGAAAAUGUGUUUGUUGAGUUGGCGUCUAGUUAAUGGCAUUGAAUCUUACACUUGGCUCUAUUUAUAGCUGACAUGUGUUGCCUUUGAACAAAUGAGAAAGUGACACCUGGAUUUGGAGAAGAAAAUGGCACGGCUUGGACUAAAAAUGAAAUUGGACCUUUCUGCAAAAUUGAAAAAUUAAGGGACUAAACUGCAAUUGACAAAAAGGACUGAAAUGUAAAAAAGAAAAUUCUGGACUGAAAUGCAAUUUUGGGACCUCACUUGAGGGACCAAAAUGCAAUUAAAAAAAUAAAAUUGAAUAAAAAACGUAAUUUGACCAAACGUAAAGCGAAACAAAACAAAAAAUAAAAUUGACAAAACGGACUAAAACGAACCAAUGGCCUAAAUGAGGUACUUCAAAGUAACCUCCCCAUGCCAAAAUUUCAUGUGAAAUGACCAAAAUGCCCCUAGGAUUAAAAAUGACCUAAACAGAGCCAAAAUGACUCGACACUGACUCAGAUGCAAGUUUGAAAUGAAUUUAACAAGAUUUACUGAUGAAAUGUUAAAAAUCAAUCUGAAAAGACUCAGAGACAGUCGCAAGGAUGAAAAUGGGUCCCACUGUAGGAAAUGACCAAAAUACCCUUCUGUACGACUUUUUGCAAAUUUUGAAAUAAACUGUAGAAAAAGCAAUGUAAUGAUUCAGAGACACUUUUGAAUGACUUACAAGACAAGUAAAGACAUUUCGAAAGGUUUUAUGCAAGAAAAACAUAGGUAAAAUUGUGAUUGAAAAAACUGCGAGGCAGAGACAAUUUGAACUGUGCAGUUGAAAUUUGAUAAUUGACAAAGUUUGAAAUGAAAUUGGGCCCAGUAUUUUUAGGUCCAAAAACAGGGUAUAACAGCUGCCCCUAUUUAAGUUUCUUUGUCUGGAGAGUCAAGAGACGGAAUCUUUGGCUUGACAGGACGAAGAUACUUAAAUAUUAGCAUUUGCACUGUGUUUGGACGUAAAAAUACGCCUACCCAUUUUCAAAUAAUAUGCAUGCCAUGCAUCAUUUGGAUUAUGAAUGCAAGACCUCAUGGGGAUUGGAAUUAACAAAAUAUGUCGUAUCCAUUGCGGGAUUGGUAGACAUUGACGAAGAUAGUGAAUAGCAGAGUAACGGGAAACUAGAAACAAGUUGGACAGGUACAAGCUGUUCUUGGAUUCAAACUAGCCACUUGACCGGGGAUGAAACAAACAGACAACUGCGAGUUGUUCUUAUGGAUUCGAACUGGUCACUUCACAGGGGAUAGAGGUUACUGGACAAACAUGAGUUGUUCUUAUGGAUUCGAACUGGUAACUCACUUGGGGAUGUUGGAAAGUGCGAGUUGUUCUUAUGGAUUCGAACUGGUGACCCGACUGGGGAAAUUGACAAGUACGAGUUGUUCUUAUGGAUUCGAACUGGUUACUCGACUGAAAGCAAGGCAAAUGGACAGGUGCGAGAUUGUUCUUGGAUGCGAACUGGUUACUCCACCGGACAGAAACAGAUAGACAGGUACAAGCUGCUCUUGGAUUGAGCUAGUCACUUGAUCAAACGGAAACAUAUUGACAGGUACAAGCUGCUCUUGGAUUGAGCUGGGCACUCGACCUAUAGCAUAAGCAAAUUGAUAGGUACAAGCUGUUCUUGGACUUGAACUAGCCACUUGACCAAACAGAAACAUAUUCACUGGGGAUUGGUUUUGUUCUGACAAAAUAUAGAUUGAGAUUGACUUGACGUCGAUUUGAUUUGAAAGGUAGAAAUUGACCGAUAUUAUUGGCUCACAAGGUUUUGACAAAGAACCUGACAUGAGUUUCGAAUUGAGACUGAUGUUGAUGUUGGAAAUGCGAUAUGCAUGGAUGAUAUAACAGUUUUAUUAAAUGCAUGGGCACGUAAUAUGCAUGAUUAUGCAUGUAUGAAUGCUUGUAAUGCAUGACUGUUGGCAUUUUGUAGGCACGACUUCACGGGGAAGACAAGACAUCAGAGUAUUGGGCACGUAGUGGCUCGUGCUAUAUUACACAUUCUUGGAAAUCCUCUUUGGAGAUGACGUCGUUGGGAGACGUAUCGGAACCAUGGCUGAGGGCAGGUAGCUAUACAACUUGCUGGAAAUUGAAUCUCGGAAGGCUUUACUGGGGAAAACGCCGUUAUGCUGGGCAUUUCAGUGCUGGGUACGUUGUAGACAUCGCAUCUGUGGUCAAUGCUUUUUGCAUGCUAUUUUCUCAUUCUCAUUUUUCGCAUCCCAUUUUUGCCUGGAUCGCCCUUUCGGGUUUUCGAUCCACCGGGGAAAUAGAUUCUUUUCAAUGCCCCAUUUUUGCCUGAACUGCCCUUUCGGGUUGUCAAUCCAGCGGGGUGCUCAUUUUUGCCUAAGCCGCCCUUCCGGGUUUUCAACUUAGCGAGCCUUUUCAUUUUCAUGCAUUUUCAUUCUGUUUUUUCAUUCUUGCCAUUGACCACAGAUUAUCUUGGAGGAGAACCUGCUUGUAACAUAUAUUGAAAUAGACAUUAACAUACUCUCGCUCAUGCAUGUUUCAUUUGAACGUACCCUGUUGCUCAGGCUUGCUUUUCAAAACAGACAAAAAGUUUUCAAUUUUCAAAAAUGUUUGUUUCAAGCAUUGUCAUUAUCAAAAUAGAAAGAAAAUGUUUUGUAUACAGCUUUGAAAGUAGAAGAAAAAUAGAGUUUCAAACAACAGCACAAGCUCAAUUUGAUGUAUAAGAGUGGUGGUCAGCCGAAGGCAUGACUCCACGGAUUCACAAAGCUUGGAAAAUGGUAAUUUUUAUUGGUUGGUGGUACAUUGAACACGGUAACCACUACAGUUCUUAGAAACUUUGAAUUCACAAGUACAGAAGCUUUUGAUGAAGAUAGGCAUUAACAGCUGCAGAUGCCCCAAGGGGGACGGUGGUUGGCCAGAUAUAGUUACUUGCCUUUUGUUUCAAUCUCAUUUUUGCAUGAACCGCCCUUCCGGGUUUUCGGCUCAUCGAGACGCUCAUUCUUGCCUGAGUUGCGUACAAUCUCAGCGAGCUUUUCAUAUUUGUUUUUUUUGUCCCUUAUUUUUGCCUGGACCGCCCUUUCGGGUUUUCGAUCCACCGGGAAGCGCAUUUUUGCCUAGGCCGCCCUUUCGGGUUUUCGACCUACCACGCUGUUCUUUUCACAUUUCUAGGCAAAGUAUUUCUUGACUAUAUCGGCAUUCACUGGAUUUGGAAGCUCUACACCAUCCAUGUGUGUAAGGAUUAAAGCACCACCGGAGAAGGCCUUCUUGACAACAUAAGGACCUUCAUAGUUAGGCGUCCACUUGCCCCUUGGGUCGGGUUGCUGGCUUACCCUCCUUUUCAAUACAAGUUCCCCUACCUUGAAUUCUCGAGGAUGGACUUUCUUGUCAAAGGCAGUCUUCAUUCUUGCUUGAUAUGACUGUCCACGAGCCAUGGCAUCCAUACGUUUUUCCUCAAUCAAAUUCAACUGAUCAUACCGGCUUUGGCACCAUUCAGCCUCAGAUAACUUUGCUUCCAUGAUCACACGGAGAGAUGGGAUCUCCACUUCCAAAGGAAGAACCGCUUCCAUACCAUAUACAAGAGAGAAAGGGGUUGCCCCGGUUGAACUGCGCACGGUAGUGCGGUAGCCAUGCAGAGCAUAGGGUAACAUCUCAUGCCAGUCCUUGUAAGUGGUUACCAUCUUCUGGACAAUUCUCUUGAUAUUCUUAUUGGCGGCCUCAACUGCACCAUUCAUCUGAGGUCUAUAAGGAGAAGAGUUAUGAUGCUCAAUUUUGAAUUCUUCACAAAGAGCUUGCACCACAUUGUUGUUCAGGUUGGUACCAUUGUCGGUAAUAAUCUUGCUGGGAACACCAUAUCGACAGAUGAUGUUGUUCUUGAUGAACUUAGCUACCACUUGCUUGGUCACAUUGGUAUAAGAUGCUGCUUCAACCCAUUUGGUAAAGUAGUCAAUUGCCACUAAGAUGAAACGAUGACCAUUUGAAGCUUUCGGUUCAAUUCUUCCAAUCAUGUCGAUGCCCCACAUUGAGAACGGCCAUGGGGAUGACAUAACACUGAGAGCAUGCGGAGGCACAUGAAUCUUAUCAGCAUAGAUUUGACAUUUGUGGCAUUUUCUGGCGUACUGGUAGCAAUCAUGCUCCAUAGUCAUCCAGUAGUAACCUGCCCGUAGCAACUUUCUUGACAUAGUAUGCCCUGUAGCAUGGGUCCCGAAGGUACCGUCAUGUACAUCAUGCAUUAACUGCUCUGCCUCAUGUUCAUCAACACAUCUUAACAAUACCAUGUCAUAGUUUCUCUUGUACAGAAUAUCUCCAUCUAACAGGAAUCUACCGGCCAAUCUUCUCAAGGUCUUCUUGUCUUGUUUGGAAGCACUCGGCGGAUACUCACGGCUCAGCAAGAACUGUUUGAUGUCGUAGUACCAAGGUCUAUAGUCAACCACAUUUUCACCAGCUUGAUCGAUCACAUCCCCAAUAGCAAACACAUGUGAAGGUCUUUCAAGGCGUUGCACUUUGAUUAAUGGCACAUCAUUCCACUGGUUUACUCGGAACAUGGAAGAUAGAGUAGCAAGAGCAUCAGCCAUUUGGUUCUCAUCACGAGGAAUAUGAUGCAGCUCAACCUUUGUAAAAUAUGUCAGAAGACGUCUCGCAUAAUCACGAUAAGGAAUCAACUUAGCAUGGUGGGUCUCCCAUUCCCCCUUUAUCUGAUUGAUGACGAGCGCAGAAUCUCCAUAGAUGUCGAGGUGUUUGAUUCUCAUGUCAAUUGCUUCCUCGAUCCCGAAGAUACAUGCUUCAUACUCAGCCAUGUUGUUGGUACAUUCGAACAGAAUUCGAGCGGUAAAGGGAAUGUGAUGCCCUUGCGGGGAUACAAUGACUGCCCCAAUUCCUUUACCAUAAGCAUUAACAGCACCAUCAAAGACUAAACCCCACUUGCUAUUGGGAUCUGGACCUUCAUUAAUCAACGGUUCGUCGCAGUCUUUGGAUUUCAAAUACAUGAUCUCUUCAUCAGGGAAAUCAAAUUCAAUUGGUUGGUAAUCAUCAAGAGGUUGAUAAGCAAGGUGAUCGGCAAGAAUGCUGCCUUUGAUUGCCUUUUGAGUUUUGAACACAAUAUCAUAUUCAGACAAAAGCAUCUGCCAGCGUGCGAUCUUCCCAGUAACGGCCGCUUUCUCAAAGAUAUACUUUAUCGGAUCCAUUCUGGAUAUCAACCAAGUUGUAUGAUUCACCAAAUAAUGGCGCAGGCGUUUGGCAGCCCAAGCUAGAGCACAACAAGUCUUUUCAAGCAUUGUAUAUCGAGUUUCACAAUCGGUGAACUUCUUGCUUAGAUAGUAGAUAGCAUGCUCUUUCUUUCCGGUUUCAUCUUGUUGACCAAGUACACAUCCCAUGGAUUCAUCAAAUACUGCCAAAUACAUAAUCAAAGGCCUUCCUUCCACGGGUGGGACAAGGAUAGGUGGUUCCAGCAGGUAAUUCUUGAUGCUAUCAAAAGCUUCUUGGCAUUCAUCAUUCCAUACAACAGGCUGGUUCUUUCUAAGUAGCUUGAAGAUCGGCCCGCAGGUUGCAGUCAUGUGAGAUAUGAAUCGGGAGAUGUAAUUCAAACGUCCCAAGAAACCUCUGACUUGCUUCUCUGUCUGUGGAGCUGGCAUUUCUCGGAUGGCCCGGACUUUAUCAGGAUCGACUUCAAUGCCCUUUUGGCUGACAAUGAAGCCUAAUAACUUUCCGGACCUGACACCGAAUGUACAUUUGUUGGGAUUCAAUCGCAGCUUGUAUUUUCUCAACCUUUCAAACAUCUUUGUUAAAUAUUCAACAUGCUGCUCCUCAUCUGCUGACUUCACAAUCAUGUCAUCCACAUAUACCUCAACUUCUUUGUGAAUCAUGUCAUGAAACAGAGUGGUCAUUCCCCUUUGGUAGGUAGCACCGGCAUUGAUUAGGCCGAACGGCAUCACUUUGUAACAGAAAGUACCCCAUGGAGUGAUAAAAGAUGUCUUUUCUCUAUCUUCAGGAGACAUUUUGAUCUGAUUAUAACCGGAAAAACCGUCCAUGAAGGAGAACACCUUAGAUUGAGCAGUAUUAUCAACAAGCGCGUCAAUAUGGGGUAACGGAAAGUUGUCUUUUGGACUGGCUUUGUUCAAGUCCCUGAAAUCAACACACAUCCGAACUUUACCAUCCUUCUUCGGCACAGGCACAAUAUUGGCAACCCAUUCGGGAUACUCAACUGUCAUGAGGAAACCCGCAUCGAUCUGCUUUUGAACUUCAUUCUUGAUCUUGAGGGCCAUGUCAGGAUGAGUCCUCCUCAAUUUCUGCCUGACGGGAGGACAUUCAGGCUUGGUAGGGAUCCGAUGCUCCACGAUCAUAGGGUCUAGACCUGGCAUAUCUUCAUAGGACCAUGCAAAAAUAUCCGGAUAUUCCCGGAGGAGUUGGAUGAUCUUCUGUUUAACCCCUUCCUCUAGAGUAGCACCAAUCUUGAUUUCUCGCUUGUUUUCCUCGGUACCUAUGUUGAUAAGCUCAAUCUCUUCUUGGUGAGGCUGAAUGGCUUUCUUUUCUUGCUCAAGUAACCGAGUGAUCUCAUACGGUAUGUCAUCACCUUCCUCAUCUUCGGCUUCAUAUACAGGGAAAUCAAAACUUGGAGGAACCGUAGGAUUACUGUGUUCAACGGGUUUAUUAUGGUUCAACCUGCAUAUAAUGAUUGGAUGAUUUUUAGAAAGAGUUUUUUUUUCAUGCAGAUUUUUGAAAUUAAUAAGAAAAUACAGACGUUUUGGUUUUUUCUGGCAUUACCAUUGUUUCCAAGGGAAAAAGCACUAAAAAAAGUAGUCGUGGAAGAAACGACAAAAUUUUAUUAAUCAACGGCAAUGCCGAAACAAACAUGCCCUUACAGAAAAUAUCACUCUCGCUUUGGGCAGAGCGAGAGGAUUGUUAUUUUUGAAAACAAAGCACUAAAGCAACAAGACACAUUACUCAGAAACAUGCAUGAUUGAAGGAAUGUCAAUGGCAUCCCAAUUUGUCGCCAUGCCUCCUGGUGUAACAAAUACAGGCCUGAGACCAGAUCCAGUGGCUUCUUCAGAGAUAGCAUUAACAAACCCUGCACUGUGGAAGACUCCCGAGGAAACCCUUGAUGACGGGGAGAACCCGAGACCUUCCUUUCGCUUGUUCUCACAGAGCUGUAUCAUCUUGCCCCAGCCGGUAGUCUGACCUUCUUGGAUGGCUCUCUGAGCAUCUUUCAAUGAAGCCAUAGCAGCCCCAGCUUCCUUAGGCUCUGCACCUUCAAUGGUCAACCCUUGGAAAGCAGUCCCUUCAGCAGACCCUGCUUCAACACAAGAAAAAGAAGACAACUGGCUGACUAAGUAUGCUUCUUCACCAUGGAUUGUAACGAGUUUUCCAUUCUUCACAAAUUUCAACUUCUGAUGUAAGGUGGAAGUAACCGCACCUGCAUCGUGUAUCCACGGUCUUCCCAGCAGGCAACUGUAGGAUGCAUUAAUGUCCAUCACUUGGAAAGUAACCAAGAAAUUCUCAGGGCCAAUGGUUAUCGGCAAGUCUAUCUCUCCCAGCACAUUCUUUCGAGAUCCAUCAAAAGCUUUGACCAAGAAAGUACUUCUCCUCAACGGGGUCCCGCGGUAGCUCAACUGAUCUAGAGUUGUCUUGGGCAUUACAUUGAGAGAGGAACCGGUAUCCACCAACACAUUUGAUAUCAUGUCUGAUUUACAGUUCACCGAGAUAUGCAAAGCCAGAUUGUGACUCCUUCCCACUUCCGGCAACUCUUCUUCACUAAACCAGAGGUUGUUACAAGCAGUAAUAUUUCCCACUAUGCCACCGAAACGAUCUACCGAGACUUCGUGGUCAACAUAUGCCUGCUCCAGCACUUUCAACAAGGUGUUCCUGUGAGCCUCAGAGCUCAAGAGUAAUGACAAUACAGAUAUCUUGGAAGGGGUUUGCAGCAAUUGAUCAACGAUCUUGUAGUCGCUCCUCUUUAUUAUCCUCAGAAUCUCAUCUAAAUUUGAAUCCUCUAUAGAUUUGCCUGGCUGAUUCACAUCUGUAGCAAUGGGUGAAACAACGGUUGGAGUUGCUUCUUCAACUGGUGGAGUGAUUGGCGUAGCUACCUUCUUCUGAAAUAAAGGCGGACGAACCUUCCCGCUUCUUAGCGCUGCAGAAGUCCCUUCGGCAAUAUUGCUUACCGUGGCAAAGGAGGCUAGAGGCACCUCUACUCCAUUUUCUAUCAUAGUAGCAUUGUACUUGUAUGGCACUGCCUUGUCCGAAACAUAAGGAAUUGGUCCUGGCAACCUUAUCACCAAAGGCUCAGCAUUCUUCUUCAAAGGUACGCUCUUGACAGGCGGAUCGUGAAAAACUGGCACGACCACGCAAACAUCACUGACGGUCAGAAAAUUAUCAUUCAUCAAGCUUUGGAUGUCGUCUUGAACAGCAUGGCAACCCAAAGAAUCACGGAGGCAUCCUAGACACUUGUCAUGAUCAUGGCUGAACAGAGAAGCUUUGCAUAGCUUGAUAUGCAGAGGCACCAGAGGAGUGACAAUAUUGCGGACAUCAAGUCUAGGAGCUUCCUCACACACUUCGAUCAUAUUCACAGCGGCAUGAUUUGGAAGAGGAUUGUCAAGGACAUGUGGAACAUUAUUCUCAAAAGUCAGCUUUCCCUGAUCAAUGAGCUUCUUCACGAUAUACUUCAAAGCAUAACACCCCUCGACAUCAUGACCUAAAGCACCUUGAUGAAAGUCACAUUUGAGAUCAGACCUGAACCUUGGAGGCAACGGAUCAGGUGGGGGCUUACCCUGUCUAGUUGUACAAUGUCCUCUCUGGAGUAGAGUUGGAAGAAGUUCCGCAUACAACAUUGGUAUAGGAGGAAAAGUUGGUCUAGUAUACUGCUGUUGCUGUUGUUGUUGUUGUUGUUGAACCGGCAACUGUUGUUUCAUCUGUUGGGCAAUUGCAUUGACGGGCACUUGAGGCUGGCCCUGUGGCAAAGGGUACUGAUGAUAAAACGGUGGGAAGAACGGAUGCUGAGAAUACGGCAUAUAUGGGUAUGACGGAGGCACUUGAGCUGCAUUGAUAGGAGCAAUAGUAGCCAUAGAUUGGCCGGCUGCAGCUGACACCAUUCCCACUUCCGUUUCUUUCUUCUUGUGGUGUCCAUUACCAUAUCUCUUCGAUGCACUCGUAGAAGAUUCAGCUUUCUCAAACACAAUGAUCCCAUCUCUGACUGCUUCCUCAAGACGGGUUCCCAUGGUGACCAUCUCCGAAAAGUUGUUCGGGGCAGCAAUGAUCAUUCUCUCAACAUAAUCUUUCUUCAAGGUCUUUAAGAACGUCUGGGUCAUUUCUUCUUCAUCUAAAGCAGGAGUGAUACGGGCAGCUGCCCCUCUCCACCUUUGCGCAUAUUCACGGAAACUCUCCUCCUUUUUCUGAGAUAGGGACCUGAGAAACUCCCUAUUCGGCUUCAAACGAGUGUUAAACCCGUAGUGGCUCCUGAAAGCGGUGGCCAGCUCAUCAAAAGUAUGGACAUCAUCUUUGCUCAGACUAGUAUACCACUCCGCAGCAUCUUCCAUCAGACUGUCUUGGAAGUAAUGGAUCAUAAGGGAAUCAUUGUCCUUGUAGUUGCCCAUUUUCCGGACGUAUUUGACAAUAUGAUUUUGAGGACAAGUCAGCCCGUUAUACUUGUCGAACUCCGGGACUUUGAACUUUUUUGGAACAUCCACCUUCGAUACCAAGCAGAGGUCCUGGGUUUUGAUGGAGUCUCCAUUUCCCCUGUUGGCCUUAAUUUCCCGUCGGAGCUCUUUGGCAAGUUCUUCCAUUCUCUCUUCCAUAGUUCCGGUUGUGGUAAUACUCCCGUGGUGUGCAUUAGCAUGGACAAAUAGAGGCACCGCAUUCACAAUGGGCUCGGUAACAGUCGUUGCAGCUUGAGUCAAGGCAGUACUGACAGGAGUUAAGUUUGCCCCUGGGAUUGGGCCAUUGUUGGUAGUACCAGAGGUCCCUGCCCCUGUAUUAGCAGUAUAGUACAGCGGAAGUCCGUAAGGAUACCCGGAUGGCAUGAUAGAGCGGGGAUCAGUUGUUACGGUAGGAGUCACAUUUGCAGCUGUAGAAACUACAGGAACUGGUUGUUCCUGAGCAGCCAACAGAGCAGUCAUAGCAUCAUGAGCUUUGGCCAAUUCCUCCCUUAGAGAUGCCAAUUCGGUACGAAGCUGUGUGUUCUCUUCUUCCAUAGCCCUUUUCUUUCUUCUGUAUUCUCUGGUUCGGUCAAUUCUAUCAGGUUCGUAAACUCUCUGAGCACGAGCCACUUUUCACACUGCGGCAGAGAAACCAGGAGGUGGUAAGCACUUGGAAGCCUUUGUGACCGAUGCAUGAUGCAUAUGAUGCAUGAUAUGCAAAUGCAAAUGCGAAAGACUUAUUUUUUUCAUCGAAGGAUUUUUAAACAAAUUAGAAAUUUUGCAAAUAAUCAAAACUACAUAGCAUUUUCAAAAGGAAGACUUUGAAAUUUCAACAAGAUAAACAAAUGAAGCCCUCAAGCAUAAGAAGUAGUCGGAAGAUCAUCGGACUCGGAAUCUGAAUCACAGUAUCUAUCAAAGAAGUCUCGUCGUCCUCGAGCUCUCUUGGAGUCCCUCAUAAGCAGCUCGUCUUUCUCUUCCAAUUCCCUCCGGACCUUAGCUAGUUCCUUCUUCAACAUCAGGUUCUCAUGAGUCUUCUGCUCAUCUCUACCAUCCAAAGUCAUGAUUAGAUUCUCGGCUUGAUUAUACCGAACUUUCCACACUUGCUUCUCACGACUCUCCAUAGCUAGAUGCUCCUGAUACAUAUCCUGAGUCGCGGGGAGUAGAGGUAGAGGCAUAGAUGGAGUAGACGAAGACACGUAUCUCAUAGCUGGAUAAGGCAUACCAAUCUCCUCAGCUCGAUCUAUCACCCACUGAGUAUAGGCCUCAUGAGCAACACUGGAUCUCACACCUAGAUGCUUCACACUCUUCCUUCGAACCUUGGACCAAGCAUCCAUGAAAGCUUUCCUUUGUCCGGUAGGAGCAUUCGCAUAGAAGAAGAACUCUGGAGAUGUAGCAAGAUUGAUGGGCUUCGACUUCAUAGGGAAACCAAACUGUCUCAUAGCAAGCUCGGGAUUGUAGUUGAUUCCUCCACGAGUACCAAGAAGAGGUACAUUGAGAAAGUCUCCACAACCCAUGAUAAUUUCCUUGGCUUGAGCGGCGGGAGUGAUCCAGACCACCUCAUUAGGAGUGAGAGCCAUAAUCCGCUGAGAGUAGGACCAAUUUUCCGAGUUAUCAUGGAAGGAACUCGGAAGGUGCGAAAUAAACCACCUAUACAAAAGAGAUAUGCAGCAAAGAAUAUACCCACGGCCCUUGAGAGUCCUGUCAUGAAUGGCGUGGUAGGUAUCCGCUAGCAAAGUAGGAGCCGGGUUCUUGGAAUGGAAGAUCUCGAUAGCAUUCAUGUCCACGAAGUUGUCGAGGUUCGGAAAGAGAAUGAGCCCGUAGAUAAGCAAAGCAAGAAUAGCCUCGAGCGUAUCCUGACAAGUAGUACUGAGAUUAGCUUGAUCAAGAAGAUACUUUGAAGUGAACCCCCGGAUGUGAGACUUGGUAAUAAGAUGGUUGGAGACGUCGGAAGUCUUGAGGUAGAGAUCCUUAGCAAUAACCAGAGGAGUAAGAGAAGUCCCGGGACCGGUGAAAGGCGUCUUCUCGGCUAUAGGUAAACCCACUAGAUUGGAGUAAGCCUCGAGAGUAGGAACCAACUGGAAGUCCGGGAAGGUGAAGCAACGGAAGCUUGGAUCAUAAAAUUGCACUAGAGUGUGCACUAGCUUCUCGUCCACAUCGGUUCGGAGCAAAGUAAGCAAUCCCCCAUACCGGAGUCGGAACCCUGUUUGACUCUUGACCUUGAGCGCCAACUCUCUUAAACUAACCAAAUCCACUUCCUUGAACUUGUAGCACUUAGUCUUCUUCAUACCUGUGAUUAUUUACAAAAAUUUCCAUUUGUUUAAACCCUUCGAUGAAUGCAUGAAAAAUGUUUAUGCAUGAAUGCAUGUAUGCAUGAUUGUGUUGUUUAGUUACAAUGUGGGUUGAGAUUCAAAGUAACAAGGCCAUGGAUGGACACGGCGUCUGGUGAACUAAGGCUUUGGAUAAUAGUAACCAAGGUUCUAAUCAAGUUCCCAAACUGCAACCUCUCUCACAUAUAUCAUGGUAGUACAGGACGACACCCGUUCCAUGUUUAUUUGUGAGAAGGUCUAGCUUGAGUGUAGUAUCGCGUGACGACUAAAGUUUGAGACAACACUCAAUUUAGCCACCGCACUACGUCCUAAAAAGGCUAGGAUGGGUUUGGUAACUACGGUUCAUAGCUUCGUCGAACAAUUGAAAGUGAAGUGCCUAAGCAUGACAACACACGCCGACAAUAUCACCUUCAAAAUGCCUCAGCUAUGUGAGAUUGAUCGCAUAAUCCAAUACACGAGGCAACCCCCGGAUCGAAUUGUCGAUUAUAUCUCUACCUAAUCAUAAGUUCACUCAGCCCGGGUUAGGACUUUUGAUAUUCUCACCCCACACGUCAAAUGAAGGUAAACAAGUAUUCACAUGUGUAAGCAAUAAAAUAAAGCAUAAAUAUAAACUAAGGAAAACUAGGCGCGACCCGCUAAAAAAGUUUCCCCAGUGAAGUCGCCAUUUCUGUUAUCAUGGUUUUUGGGUGCCAAGCCAUUAAUUGGACUUGUACCUUUCGACCGUUGAUAUCUCUAUUUUUUCUUGGGAAGGGCAAAAUUGAGAAAAACCCUUAGAUUCUAAGUUCGGGGGUCGGUUUUACUACGGGAAGGUGUUAGGCACCCGGAGUAACUAUAGUCCUCUAUAGGAGCCGUUUUCCUAAGUCUAUAUUCGCGCUUAUUUUUGCUUACUUUUGAAAAUGGGAGGUUUAUUUAGUUAAGAAUGGGGGGAGAGAUUGUAAGACUUUGAUUUUAUUUCGGCUUGGAUGAGUUUUGACUCAUUGCCUACGUACCGUUUUACGGGAUCAAAACCGGCGUAGUUCUUGCUAAAAAGACUUGUUUUUCUUUUGUUUUAAUUGUUUGAUUUCAAGUUUUGAAAAAAAGGUUUUGAAGAAGGAGAUUGGGAGGCUUCAUGAGCAUUAGAUUUUAGCAAAAGGUAAGGUUUGAUUAGUGAUUUCGAAAGAAAGUCUAAAUGAUUAAGAUGAAUUGAAUUUUUCUUAAGAAAAAAGAAAGGAAAAAAUGAAGUGUUGACUUCAUACAUAUUAUGAAAAUUUUUGAAGUGAAGUUCAAUUGUUUUUUUUUUUGAAAAAAGAUGGAUUUUCUCUAAGCGUUUAAACCUAAGCGCUCAUCUAACCAUACAAUCCUAUGCAUACAUCUAAGGUGAGUGUGUGCGUGUCGGUGCGUCAUAGUGUCCAUAGUCCAUAUUACAAAAAUUGCCUAAAUACAUUCUAUGGCCCCUUUGCCAAGCUACAAACCAAUGAUAACAAAUUACAUUACCAAAUGAAUUAAAACUUGCAAAAAAAACAAAUGCUAGGCUAAAAAGUGGAGGGAAUGCUAAAUGAGAUGCAUGAAACAUGAGAUGAAAUGGUUAGUAACCAUAAAGCACAAAAUAAUAGGAAAUAUUCAAAAGGAAAUGCAUAAAAAUGGCAAAGAAAAGGUAAUAAAGUGGCAAUAAACCUAAAAACUUUGAUGUGAUACCUAAAGGUGCUUGUAACCCAUAAUCAUCACAUCAUGGCAAUUUUGAAAGAAAUUUUGUUUCAAGCCAUGACAUGAAAUUAAUGGAAACAUAUGCAAGCAAGGUAUCACACCAAAUUCAUAGAGAAAUUUGACACUUUAUUCCCUAAAACAAACACUUGUUGCUUGUAAAACAAGAAAUCCAUAAAAUCAUAUUCAAAACAGCAAAAGAAACACAUGUUCAGAGGCAUAUUCAUCAUAAGAUAUGGCAUCAUUUAUUCAUAACACAUAUCAAAGUAUCAAGAACAAAAACAUAGCAAAAAGUACAUCAAAAGUGUAAAAACACAUGGAAAUUAGUUCAUGCCAUUUUAACAUUUUUUACAUGCAAGAAAACACCAUAAAAAUGCCAAAAAUAUACCAAGAAAAGAAACAACUAGGAUUUUUCAGGAAUUUUUAUAAAAAAAAAGGUAAGCAAGUAGCAGGUUCAGAUAGCAAGAAAGGCGGUGCAAAUAGCAAGAAAUUAACAAAAAAACGUAAAAAGAAACAAGCCCAAACCAAAGCCCAAUCCUACAAGGUCCGGAAGCAUGGGAUCCACACGAUUGAUCCAGGAUUCAAAAACCCUAGAUCAAACGGCCAGGAAUCAAAGGGGAAUGGACCGGAUUGAACCGGUCCGGUUCGCUGGCCUAUAAAAAUGGAAGGACACCGGUUUUUUCAUUUCUCUACUUCCCUUUCUCUCUCUAAGUUCUUCCCUCUUCUCUCAUCUCUCAUCUCUCUCUAAACCCUCACCGGAUUCUGGAAAAACACGGAAGAUCUUCAUCUUCCCCGGUGAGUUUUGCUCCUCCGGCGUGGUGGCCGGCCGCCCAAGGGUGGUGGCGCCGCCGCCGGAGUUGAACAAACUUCACCGUUUUCAAAAAAAACUUACAUUUUCAGAUAUCCUUUUCCAUCCUAAACACGAAUAUGACACUGGAUUCUUCAUGCAAGGCGUGAAUCAACGUAGAUCUACGUUUUUGUGUCACGAUUUUGAGAAAAAAAAAAAAUUUAGGUUUUCAAAGAAUUUUUAAAAGAAGCUUGUAACACCUCAAGAUCUACAUUGAUUCCGUGUUGGCUAUCUCUCUGGCACUCGUCCUUGCUUACAACUUCUGGAUUUCUAUGGAUCUAUGUUUUUGCUUACGGUUAUGAUUUUUUUUAUGAUUCUGGAAAUUUUUUUGGAUCUUGUUUGCAGGUUUAACAGUGAUUAUGCUUUUUAAAGAGAGAAAACUGAGUUUUACCUGAAUUUUGGUUGAGAUUCUUGAAGGAGAAAAUCUUCGGAAAACUUGAACGUUCUUUGAUUUUCUCUGAACCGAAAAUAAAUCGGUUUACUGGCUUGGUUUCUUCAUCUUCUCCGGUUCUUUCUCUGAUUAUACGUUUGAACUUGCUUCUUUGAUUUCUUUGCGAGAGGCUCCCCGUGAUCAACGCUUGAGCUUGCUUUGAUGCGAGCUCGCGUUUGGAAUUGCAGGGAAUCAAUCAAUUCAGUGAUGAAGAUUCAUACGAAUCUCUGAGAAUUGAUGCGAAAAACACUGAAACUUGAUGAAUUUGUGACUUUCUGGAAACGGUUAGGGUUUUGUGUUCUUCGUGUUCUUGAUGAAUCUGAGAAAUUUUCUGUUUUGAUCUAACUGAUUGGAGAGAGAAUCUGAAAAUGUGUUUGUUGAGUUGGCGUCUAGUUAAUGGCAUUGAAUCUUACACUUGGCUCUAUUUAUAGCUGACAUGUGUUGCCUUUGAACAAAUGAGAAAGUGACACCUGGAUUUGGAGAAGAAAAUGGCACGGCUUGGACUAAAAAUGAAAUUGGACCUUUCUGCAAAAUUGAAAAAUUAAGGGACUAAACUGCAAUUGACAAAAAGGACUGAAAUGUAAAAAAGAAAAUUCUGGACUGAAAUGCAAUUUUGGGACCUCACUUGAGGGACCAAAAUGCAAUUAAAAAAAUAAAAUUGAAUAAAAAACGUAAUUUGACCAAACGUAAAGCGAAACAAAACAAAAAAUAAAAUUGACAAAACGGACUAAAACGAACCAAUGGCCUAAAUGAGGUACUUCAAAGUAACCUCCCCAUGCCAAAAUUUCAUGUGAAAUGACCAAAAUGCCCCUAGGAUUAAAAAUGACCUAAAUAGAGCCAAAAUGACUCGACACUGACUCAGAUGCAAGUUUGAAAUGAAUUUAACAAGAUUUACUGAUGAAAUGUUAAAAAUCAAUCUGAAAAGACUCAGAGACAGUCGCAAGGAUGAAAAUGGGUCCCACUGUAGGAAAUGACCAAAAUACCCUUCUGUACGACUUUUUGCAAAUUUUGAAAUAAACUGUAGAAAAAGCAAUGUAAUGAUUCAGAGACACUUUUGAAUGACUUACAAGACAAGUAAAGACAUUUCGAAAGGUUUUAUGCAAGAAAAACAUAGGUAAAAUUGUGAUUGAAAAAACUGCGAGGCAGAGACAAUUUGAACUGUGCAGUUGAAAUUUGAUAAUUGACAAAGUUUGAAAUGAAAUUGGGCCCAGUAUUUUUAGGUCCAAAAACAGGGUAUAACAAUUAAUUCUCUAAUUCAACUACCUAACCAAGACGAGGCUUUGAGAACCAUUUUCUCCUCUUUUGAAAAUUAAAACCCAAGAAUAUUCUCCCCCUAACCACAAAUUCACAGAAGAUUGCAACUUUAUGCUUGAUUUCUUAGAUAGUGCCCUUCCUUCUUCGUCUCCUCUGUCUCCUAGGUUUCAUGUACUCUCUAUGCUUCCUUAACCCAUGUUCUUCCUUUGCUCCUCUCAUUUUUUUCUCUUUCUAUGUAACCCUAAUUCUCUAAUACUCUUUUCUAUUUAGAGCCACUAUUUCAGCUUAGUUUUCUCACAUAGUUCUUAGACAUACUUGUUAUCUGCACCCCUAGUCUAGUUACUGUUUUUUCUGUAACGCCUCCGCUCGGUGUGCAUGUAACACCCGAGGCUGAUGAGGGCGGGGAGUGGUCCGACUCCUGGCAUGCUUCUAGGAAAAACUGAAUCACAUCGAAAUGAGAAGAUCCUGAGGCCGUACAGGUAUGAGACUGCAUGGUUGAAGGCAAGCUUAUAAGAUUUGUUUGGUACUACCUAUAUCAAUAAGAUGCAUCUUCUUUUCGGUAGCUCAUUUCAUAAGAACUUCACAGUUAAGCGUGCUUGACUUGGAGCAAUUUUGGAUGGGUGACCUACCGGGAAGUUUCCUCGUAAGCGUGCGAGUGAGGACAAAACACGCUGAAAAGACUCGUGUUGGUUUGUGGGGUCAGUCGACAAUGCUGAAAGUCGUAUGGGAUGUUGCGUUUUCUGUAACUACACAGCCAUGCUGUUUACACCUCCCUCUGUCUAAACUAAUAAAAUGCUACAUAGUUUUACCAAUACACUAUACAUAUAAUCAAUAAUAAAAGAAAAAUUAUCAUCAAUACACUGAGAUAAAAUAUUUUCAAAGUAGCAAUUAAAGAGUAAGAUAGCGACUCUUAUCAUAUCCAUCAUCUGAAAGGUAAGUCGAUGUGUGAGAUAAAAUAUUUAUUCUUAGAACAUUUAUUAUGGAAUCAAGUUGUCAAAACAAAUUUUUGUUUGUCUUUUCACUAAGUCAUGUUCUCUCGAUCACUGUCAUCAUAAAAUCUCAAAAAACAAAAAAUUAUUUUAUUUUGAAAUUAUUAUGGAAUCACUAAUAUUUUUUUUAAUUUAGUUUAUUUACCAAAAUAAAAAAUAAAAAAUGUUUGUCUAUACUAUUUGGGUCAUUGAGAUUUUUUGAAAGUUUGAUGAUUUCAAUUUCAUAUAUGGAUCGUUUUCAAGAUUUUUAUUUUCUUCAUAUAUUUGACUUUCGCAUAAAAAAAAAUCUCACAUUCAUGCAUUAAUAAGAAAAUUAAAAUUCAUGCAUUCUUCGGUUAAAAAAGUAAAGGUAAAAAAAUAAAAAAAAUAUUCUUUAUAUCACAUAUAUGUAGUUUUUAAAAAUACUCUUUUAUCCCAAUCAUAGGAUUUUUACUUUACAUAAGUCAUUUAUACAUUUAUGUCAUUUUACUGAUUAUUAAUAGAAUAAACAAUAAAUGAUUGUUAUUUUAUUUUAAUUUUAUAUACAAACAAACCAAAAAAAGUUGAGUUGAUAAUAUUUUGUUAUAUGUUUUGACAAGUAGAUAAAUCGAUGUACGAAUAAUUUUCAUUAAUAUUUAAAAAUUGUAAUCAAAAUUAUACAAACAAACAUAAUAAAAUACACACACGUUAACACAAUAAAAAGAGCGGGCACACAUGCACGGUAGAGCCCAUCUUACUGCAAGUGGAAAUAUGAGAAAUGCUAUUUUAUACGAAAAUUUCACAACGGAAUUUCACGGACGCGUGAAUACGUCCAUUUUCCACGCGCUGCACUUCUGUUUAUUUUUUUAAUCAAAAAAAGAAAAUUAGCUGGCUUUCGUUCUCCCCCAAACAAAACAAACAUGUUCCUUCUCCCAGAAUCCCAAAACUUCUUCCUUAACAAAUUUGUGUAGAGGAACAACAAAUGCCACAAACACGUCAGUAACAAAUCUCCCAACCUUAUUUUCAUAUUUAUUUUCAUGCAUCUCUUUCUUUCUUUGUUAUUUAAUUUUCAUGCGGGUACUUUUUCCUGUUAAAUUGUGGUGGUAGUUUGGUUGUUGCUUAUUUACUGUGGUUGUUUGCUUAUUGGAGCACUACACAACUCUUUUUUUUUUUUUUUUUUUUAGUUUUGGGGUGGUUUGUUAAUAAUUAGUUAUGAAUCAAUGGAAGCUGUGAUGAUAGGAAGAAACAGAGUUAUGUGAGGAUGAAUCAGAGACCUGAUUUACAAAGACACUACGAAGUGUAUCAAGAUGUAAAUUAAUUCUUGCUCUUCUCCUCUCUGCUUCACUAUGAUUCUUCAAAGCUUCGAUACUUCUCCCAGGUGACACACCCUUUCUUUCUAAUUUCACAGCUGCCUCCACAAGCUCUCCUUUUUCUCUAUCCAAAACCAGUGAAGAAGAUGAACCAUAUCCACUUCCAUUUACACCUUGAAAACAACCAUCAUUAAUUCUACUUGGGUUAUUUCACACAAAUGAGAAUGAAUUCCAAUCAAAGGUUUGAAUCGCGGUAAGGAAAAACAAUUGGGGCAAGAGUGGUGAAAGUGGGUUUUAUUUCUAUUAUUAAUGGCGAGUUAUCCAGAUCUCCACAAAUGCAAGCUACUUUUUUUUAAAAAUUAAAAAAAUCAGAGAGUGCAGCGCGUGCAAAAUUGGUGUAUUCACGCGUCUGUGAAUUUUCGUUGUGAAGUUCCCGUACCAAAUAGCACUCCUGUGGCCCGUCAAUUUUUUUUUAAGGAAUAAAGUCCGUCAAAAUUAAAUCAUGAUACGGAUUUUUUGCAAAAUCAAUAGUGUAGUAUAAAAGAAAGCUUCUGUCCAAGAUGUGAUACUAAGCUGGAAACAAUAAACCAUGCAUUUAUGAAUUGCCCUUUUUCGAGAAAGGUUUGGUUUGGUUCCAACAUCAACAUAAAAUUUCCAGAAAGUCCAGAAUUUGAAUUUCAAGACUGGCUUAGACAAUUCAUACAGACAACAGAUGCAGCAACUAUCAUCUAUGCCGCUUCAGUUAUCUAUAAUUUGUGGUAUGCUAGAAACAAGUUAAUUUUCGAAGAUUAUAAAACCAACAUAGAAGACAUUCUAAACUACAUCAACAAAACAAUUCACGAGUACCAAAUAUGCAAUAAAAUCAACAACAUACCCAACAUGAUGCAUAAAUUGACUUCUACGCACAAUCAGCAAACUCAGCAUACAGUUCCGACAAGAUGGAGGAAACCAUAAAAUAAUUUGUACAAAAUGAACACUGAUGCAAACCUGUCUGAAGCGAACUCCUGGGGAUUAAGCGCACUCUGUCGAGAUGGAGAUGGGGAAGUCAUUGCAGCGGCUACAUGGAAGAUGAAAGGACAUAGAAGCAUCGAAAGAACAUUAUUGAUGAAAACUUUUGUUAAGUGAUUUGAUCUCUUAUUAUUUCUGAAACUUAACAAAACUAUUUUUCUUAUCUCUAUGCGUGAUACUUUUAUUGCUUGGAUGCCAUAAACUGAUUUAUGAUUCGUAUUGUAUAAUGGAAGUUGAAUUCAUGAACUCUCUGAGAUAAACAAUUUUUGCCUCUGCAAUCUAGGAGGAUAUGAAAAACCUUGAAAUCAAUUGAGAACUCUUGUACUUUCAUGCGUAAUUUUAAUCUUCAAUUCAUUAUCGAAGCAUAGGUUAUUUUAGAAUUAACGACUCCGUCACAAAGGAAUUAGGGCCAUACUAUUUUAGGAAUUAAAGAGAUUUAAUAGUCAUAGUAAUUAGUUUGAUAACUUAAGAUAGUCAUCUAGUUAAACUCAUUUCCCCACAACUAGAUCAAAUCAAUCUUAUUUUGCUUAAUUUUCAUAAUUGCUAUCCAACAAAUCUACUAACUUUUUGUUUAGUUAUGUUAAAAAUAUUAUUCAAGAGUAUAACACGAUCCUCGAGUUUGAUACUCGGUCUUACCAUUUUAAUUUUACUAAUUGCACGAUUUCACACACUUAAAAAAUAACUAUUAAAAUGAGAAUUGAUACAAAUUUAGCAAGUGUGCUAAACUAUAUCGAAGUAAUAAAAUUUAUAAGAUUUGUAUCCAUAGGGACUGUUUCAACUUCUAUUCGGUAGUAACAUUAUUAUUAAGAAUGUUUGUAAAAUGGGGGGUACACCGAGGCAAUUGGUUUGGUUUGCAAGUCAAAAUAAAUAACAGAUUAAUUAUAAAAUUGGUAAUGAAUUUAUUGGAAAUAUGAUCAGGUCUUUCAAAUCAUUUGUUCAACACUAAUUGGUAAUCUAAACCUAAACUGUUUAAUUGCUCUUCUAGUUUUUUUUUUUUUUUUGACAAAUGCUCUUCUAGUUUAUGAUAAUUAACAAAAUAGCUCAGGACAAUCCCUUGACUAAGAGCCCUCUUUUCUAAUUAUAAUUUGCUAAUCCCUUACGUGAACCUAUAAUCAUCAAAGGUUUUAAAGUGCGUUAAUUCAGAAUCACAACCUAAUAACAACUUUUCAUCCCUAGAUUGUCCGUUAAGUUGCACAACAUAAAUAAGUCGGAGUUAUAAGCUGGUGUCAGCUGUCAUAUAAUCUCUUUCAAUUAUAUUGGGUCAGAAUUAUAAAAGGAUUACGCACAAUUUAUAUUGAAUAAACUAGAAUAACAAUCAUAAUAAUUCAGAGUUACAAAUUACAUGGCCAAAAAGCUAGAACAGAAUCAUCUCAGACCUAAUCAAUUGAAACUUAGCUACUCAUGACUAAUGCACAAAUAACUAGAUUAAAAGAAAACAACAUUACAUGAAUUUGGGACUGGCUAUGAGUUGGAUGGUAAGCCACCAUGAAAUUUGCAGUCCUUGAAUCCAAAUGUGUCUCCAAUCUCCCCAAAAAUCAGAACCCUUGCUUCAUAAACGUGUUUGGCUUUUAUAAACUAGGUCGAGACUCGAUUUCAUCAUUAAAUCCAAAUUAACUUCAGACGCUCCAUAAGUCGAGGCUCGAUUUGCAUAAAUCGUGGCUCGAUUUUUCCAGGAUCAAAAUGUCUUCAGAACAGCUCAAAAUUGAGGCUCGAUUUCAAUAAAUCAUGGCUCAAUUUUUCCUUAUCGCAACACUUAUUUUCUGUCCUUUUUUAGCCUCUGGCAUCUGUGAACUCAUCUGAACUCAAGUAAAAUGAAUAAAAAGACUACUAAAAAGAUGAUAUGACCUAGUGUCACCAAGAAUCUAAAUAUCUACCGUAUCAAGAAAUCUCAAAACCUUAUAAAUGUGUCUACAAAAGGGAAUUCGAAAGAAAAUCCCGUAUGAUGAGAGCUGCACAUUAUUUGAAAAGAGAUUGGAAGAAGAAAAAGUGUCGCAAAUGGUACGUUAUUAAAACACUUUUUGUAUCACCGGUAACAAGAAAAAAAUGUUACAUUCAUCAUUUUUUAGAAGUUGUAAAAAGUGUCGCAAAAUUGUCUAAACCAAAAAAUUGUGAAUCUACCAAAUUUGUUUUUGCUUAGAUUUCAUUCAUAUUUGAAUUAACCAAUAUGAGAAGAUCGAAAGUCAUUCAAAUUUACAACUUCAAAGCAUGUAAAGGUAAAAAGAAAAAUAGUAAUAAUAAGCCUCAAGCAUCAGCAAUAGCAUUAUCCUCAAGCAUGCCAUCGUUUAGCCUCAUAAAAAAAACUAAAGAAUUUAGCUCCAUGGAUAUAUCAUAUCGUGUGCUGAUAUUCUUUAAUUUCACCUCCAUGUUUAAACCAUGGAAUUCAGCUUUUUAAGCCAAGACCGAAUAAAACUAGUAAAGAGACAAGAUAAAAACCAGAAAUCCUCCUAAGAUGCCUAUAACCAGAAAAUGCCACUUCUAAUAUUAGCCCAAAUCUUAUUAAGUAGUCCCCAAAACUGCAUCAUUACCUUCCAAGUGCAGCAACACCACUGAAUAAAAUCAGCCCUGGACUAAUGUUCACAAGUGUUCCCUCCUCUCAGACAGCCACUUGCUGACUCCGGAUAAACACUAAAGAAACCAACAAACCGUUAGGUGAGGUCUAUAGGUAAUUAGAAAUUCAAAUUGAAACACGGAAUCGUUAAAUUAAAUCUUCGCCUAUAGGUAAUUAUCCAGAACAUAACAAAUUAAAAGAAUAUUUUCAGGAACAAAUUUCACAAUUCAUCAAUGAAACAAUCCAGACAUGAAACAAUAGAGACUGAAAUUAAUCAAAACAACUAACAAAAUCACGAAACCUUUAUAAAAUGUGCAUGCAUUCAAAGUAGCUAUUAAAAACAAAAGCAAAAAUGGACAAUACACCAUUUGUUGUCUCUGGCAACACUUUUUUAGGAGACAUGUUAAAAUUGUCCCCUAAAAGUCUCUAAGGCAUCGAUUUAUGAGUGUUGCCAAAAUUAUUUUCGCAACCACUGAAAAACAUCUCCUAAAAUAUUUUAGGGGACGAUUUUGGAGCGUUGCACUAUUAUUUCUUGGGUGACAACCAUUAAUCGUCCCCUUAGAUACUUUUGGGGACGAUUUUGGAGCGUUACACUAUUAUAUCUUUGGUGACAACCAUUAAUUGUCCCCUUAAAUACUUUUGGGGACAAUUUUAGAUUGUUGCAUAAAAAUUUCACCAACAUCAAAUUUUUUGGGGGAAUAUUCUCUCCAAGCUUGUUUACAAAAAAAAAAAUCUAAAAUUGGCUUAGCUAGGAGUUGAACAUGCAACCUCUUAUGGAGAGAAGACAUCCUUUUUAUUUGGGGAAUUAGUCACUUUAGUCCCUGAAUGGGAAAUGAGUAGUCACUUUAGUCCCUGAAUGCAGAGAAAUUGCAAAACAGUCCCUGGAUGUAGACUCUGUUGGUCAAUUUCAGGGACUAAAGUGACGAACGCAGUCUACAUUUAGGGACUAAUUUAAUUAACAGAGUCUACAUUCAGGGAUUAUUUUGCAAUUUAUCUGCAUUCAAGGACUAAAGUGACGACUUCUUUCCUAUUUAGAGACUAAAGUGACUAAUUCCCCAUUUUUAUUUUUAUUUGUUGUGAUUUAGUGAUCCAGAUUAAUGUAAUUCAACCUAGUUUAAUAAAAGUACACAUUUUUUAUAGAGACCGAGUUAUAAAUAUUAUUUAUCAAGUUUAAUCUAGUUCAAUCAUGUUGUUCAACCAAUGACCUAGUGGUUAAAUUAUUGACUCCGUGACGUAGUGACCUUACUGUGUCGACAACCGGUCCGAAUUUUAAAACCAUGUAUCUAACACAUAAUAAUAAUAAUAAUAAUAAUAAUAAUAAUAAUAUAAGAGUAUAUUUUACGGGUAGAAUUAAUAAAAUUUGGUAAUUUUUUUUUAAUAAAAGUCAGCCCAAAAAGUGCUGAAAUGAGUUAUUUUCUUUAGGGGAGUUCUACGGUACAUCUCAUAAAUUGAGGUGUACCGGUACUCCUACUUCAAAAAUUUAUAACUUAACGGUUAUUUUAUGAGAUAAAGAGUUAUUUAUCGAUAUUUAUAUUUUAGAAAUUAGAAUUUAUGGCUUUUUAUUAGUCUAUAUUAGUGCUUCGUAAAUUUGUUUGGGAACUGAAAAGUUUUUCGUUUGAUUUAUCUUCUCGGAAAGCCAAAUAUUAAUCGAGUAGAGAUGGAAUGGUGUUCCCUAUCAAAGGAAGCGCAUUCAUGUAUUAAUUUUCCUUAAUUAAUUAACGUAAUGGCAAGGAAUUUGAGGAGAGAGAAGCUUGAAGUUUCACCGGAGACUAUAGAGAAAACGGAAGUUAUAAUGAGAGAGAAUUGAGAUUACUAAUUUGAGGUUCUCACAAUCAGAGAUUUGAGGACUUGAAUCAAUUUGAGAUCGAUUGAAAAUUGUCGAUUAAUCAUCAAAUGUUGCUCCAAGUAUACAAUCAUCAAAUGCUUAACAUAGUAAAUCAAUUGUACAAUCACAUUCUAGUGCAUCUUUUGAGAAUUUUUGUCAUCUACUCCAUCCGUCUUAAAAUAUAUAAGCAAAAAAAUCUCAUAUUUUUUAUCUCAAAAUAUAAGCAAAAAAAAACCAACUUUUAUGCCAUUAUUAUAUUUUUUCAAACAAAUCAUUUUUUCAAUGUAAAAUUCAAUGCAAAUUGCAUUCAAUUUGUUUUCCUUUUUAUUUUCUCCAUAAUUUUUAACCAAUGAUCUUUUCAUGAAACUUAUUUCAAAGAUAACACAAAAAAUUAUACUUCAAAUUACUAAAUGUUAGUUUUCUUAAUAAGUGAGAAUUAAUAUUUUUUUUCUUAUAAAUUAGAACGGAGGGAGUAUGUCAUCGACAAAACAUAACAAAUAAACCAGAACACAAACUACCUCUCCAGAGGCAGAGGAACAGCAGCGGGGACGACCGCGACUAAUCCAAUCAGGCACCAUAAUCAGUCCAUACACUUUCUAGUGGUUAAUCAGUCCUAAUAUUAAGGUUAUUAUCAACAAGAUCAUGCAUCACCAUCGCAUGAAAUAGCCACAAGACUGAGAAAUCAAUAAUGAAAUAUCUAUCCAAUCAUACAUUAUAUUUUAGAAAUCACCAAUAACAAGCAACCAAAUCACACAAACUUUCUAUGAAAUUCAAAUUCAGCACAACAUAACCAAAAACCCUAUAUAUUACCUCCUCCAAUACCAUGUCAAUACACCAGAAGCAAAAUAUUGACACCAUUUCAAUACACCAAUAACAUAACCAAAACCUUGUAUAUUGCAGCUUCACUGGGGCGUGAUGGUUGAUGCUAUUCCUUGAUCAUGAUUUUAAUUUCUUGUUGUCCUUUACGAUGUCCUUUCUUUGAUGGUUUAUUGGUGACAUCAUCCUGUUGUUCUAUUUCAACAUCGAGUGUGAUUUCUUUGAUUAAAAAUGUUACAUAUUCUAAAUGGAUUAGAUUCAAGUCAGAAGUUCAAAAGGAUGACCCUAUACAAACGGUACUCAGCAAUCUACUUUAGAUUUUAUGUUUAUUAGUACC
rnacentral:lncRNA from 1 species